rnacentral:lncRNA from 1 species
UAUGACAUGUGGACCCAUGUAGUCGGCGAGACUAGAGAGUAAUCCCGGCUGGGAUCAUUAUUUUUCUAGCGUGCCAAACCCAAUACAAACGGAUUUGGAGUCGAGAUUGACCGGAAUCGAUAAGUAUAGAGUAUGAACUUCAGAGAUUUAGAGGUAGAGGUUUGUUUCCAACAAGGCCUACAAAUUCAAAGUUUAAAAUAGACUUCACUCUUGUUGCUUCCCCUUUCUCCAUCCUCACCCGUUCCCCGUUCCACUUCACACUCGGCCCGGCGACGAGCCAAAUCCCCACCAAAUCCCUAGGUCUUCGCCGCGAGCGUGGCCGGCUAGGAGUUAAUUGAGGAAGGCGACGGCCCGGCGAAGGAUUCCGCAUAGCUCGAAACGGGGUGAGGGCAGAGCGCGCGUGCCGGAGAAGGAGGAGAAGGUAGCGGCGACGGGGGAGGGGGUGGACCUGAUGAUUCUGCGCGAGGCGGCGACGACCCCGAGGGACGCGAGAUCCUGCUGCUUCGAUGACCCGAGGUUAGUUUACCCAUACGUUCCGUCCUCGCCCACACAUCUCGCGGUUGCUGAGGUUUCGUCGCCAACGCCCUCAUCGUCAUCGNNNNNNNNNNNNNNNNNNNNNNNNNNNNNNNNNNNNNNNNNNNNNNNNNNNNNNNNNNNNNNNNNNNNNNNNNNNNNNNNNNNNNNNNNNNNNNNNNNNNNNNNNNNNNNNNNNNNNNNNNNNNNNNNNNNNNNNNNNNNNNNNNNNNNNNNNNNNNNNNNNNNNNNNNNNNNNNNNNNNNNNNNNNNNNNNNNNNNNNNNNNNNNNNNNNNNNNNNNNNNNNNNNNNNNNNNNNNNNNNNNNNNNNNNNNNNNNNNNNNNNNNNNNNNNNNNNNNNNNNNNNNNNNNNNNNNNNNNNNNNNNNNNNNNNNNNNNNNNNNNNNNNNNNNNNNNNNNNNNNNNNNNNNNNNNNNNNNNNNNNNNNNNNNNNNNNNNNNNNNNNNNNNNNNNNNNNNNNNNNNNNNNNNNNNNNNNNNNNNNNNNNNNNNNNNNNNNNNNNNNNNNNNNNNNNNNNNNNNNNNNNNNNAUCAAACGGAGAGGCAGGAGGGAGGGAGGAAGGGAUUUUUUGCGUGGAUUUUGGGCUGCGGCAUCCUCUGUCCGAAUCUGUGUUUUUCUCUUGUUUUUAUAUGCAUCUGCCGCUGAGAAAUCAUAAGAAUACUGCAAUCCCGGACUGAAAUAGGGUUCAACUAGGAACGCAGGCAUAGGGAGAGAGGGCAAUAGUGUGGAAUUCAGAAUAGGAAGGGGGGGGGGGGCAACACUGUCUGUUUUUGCCUUGGUUUUGUAGGCAAUCAGGUAGAAGAUAAGUAGUCAAUAAUCAGUUUUGAAAUGAUGCGAGUUUAAUCAGUUCAGAGAAUAAUCAGUAUGAAAUGUAGGCAAGGAGAUAGAUAUAUGUAGGCAAUCAGAUAGAGUUAUGUAGGCAACGAUCAGUUAGAUAAUAGGCAGUAAUGUGUGUUUUUGUUUUCUGUACGUAAACAAUCGACGUACAUUUUUGAUUUUGUAGGCAAUUUUAAUUAACAUUUUUAUAGGCAUUGUUUUGUGUGUUCUUCGUAGGCAAUUAAAUUAGCAUCAUAGGCGAUACUGUUGUGCUUUCAGCAGGCAGUUCUUAGGAAUAUUCGCCAUGUGUUCGUAGGCAACACCACUGUGUUUUGUGUAGACAAUCAGAGAGAGAUAAGUAGGCAAAACAAUGCAUAAGAUGUGUUCAUAGGCAAUCCCAUAGGCAAUAACGUGUGUUUUUGUGUUUCAUCAGCUGACGACACAUUUUCUGUAGAGAAAUACAAGCAAGGGGGCAAAAUACUCACAUAUUUUUUCUUGCCAUGGAUUUUGUGCCUUUUUUAUGCAGUACUGUAAGAUACGUGAGAAAACUACAGAUAGUUUUGGCAUGGCAUGGCAUGGAAGCACUAGUUGUGGUUCUAGUAGUAGUAGCAGAUUUCAGAGAUGGCACUAACCUCUGCCAUUUUCCUUCUGGGUAGCAACUAAAACUACGCGGCAUACAUGACAGACAUUCUAGCAGGUAGUCAAGAUGAGAAAGUUAUACUAUGUAGCAUAUACACAGUUUUUUCAGUACAAACCGAGGAAACCCCCUUACGAGAACAGAUUAUGAACUGACUCUCACGUUUGCUGGAGGUAAACGUGCGACUCCUGCAUUAAGAUUCAGGACUCAUACAGAUAUUUGUUGUAGUAGCUCCUAGUGCAUAAGAUUGGCAUCUUUGCCGCAUUUUUCUGUGAACUAUGCUCUGGAAGUUUGACUUCAUAUGCAAAGAAUAGGUUGCUUGAGUACGUAAUUACCUCGAAAUCUCAUGUGAUGUUUUCAUGUAAUUUGGAAUCGAAACUUGAAACCAUAGUGGACAUUCGAUUUUCAGUAACUGAACUUUUUGCCAUUUUAAAAAGUUAAAUGCGCUGCUGCUUUGAGUGAGCUCUGAGUAAUGAAUCAUCUCGAAAUCUCAUAUGAUGCUUUCUAUAAGCUGGAUUUUGGUACUUAGAUGUGUGGAACUCAAUUUCGGUAAUUGAAAACGGCCAUUUUUUUUAGAAGUUAGAUGCGCCGGUACUCGAAGUAUUUGUGCAUAUUUUUUUUGCAGCUAAUGUGAUGGAGUGAAGCUCUGAGCAGACUUCCACAAAAUGUUCCCUCUUUUUUGGUGCUUUGGAUUUUGGGUGGUGGUAGAGCUUGCACCAUGCUAGCUCCCAGUCUGCUGUAUUUGCUCGGCCACAUUUGCAAACGCAAGCAAUAAUAAGACUAAUUUCAGUAAUCACAUGUUUAAAUGUAAACAAUGUUGUACAUGUAUAUAUGUAGGCAUCUUCAUUUGUAUACUAGGCAUUUUUUUAGUAGGCAAUUUGUUUCAGCCAAAACACUAAAUCACCCACCCCACAAUUUAACCACAUAGUUUCAGACUACUUUGUAUGCAGGCAACUAAGUCAUUUUCUCCCUGCAAUUUUACUUUCUGUUUUCCAACUAUGAGAUUUCUAAAUCAUUUUUGCCCACUAAUAGCAGAGCAACUUCAGUUUAGUGGGAAAUUUUACCAACUAAUUUCAGACUACUUUUUGCAAAGCAUGAAGGAAACUAGAACAUUUUUCAACCUGCAAAAUUCUUUCUCCUGAAGCAACUAUGCUUCCUUUUAGUUGGGUUCCUUCAAAGUGUGCCUGCAAAGGUUUCUCUAAGCAACUUUCUUGUAUGUGUUUUUUCCAUGAAACGGGGCCCAGAAAAUGAAACAACAUGAAACAAAUGCUCAGGAUCUCUCUCUAACAUCCAGGUCCAAAAUCGGAGGGGGAGGGGGGGAUGAAUCAUCCCGGUUCAUCAUACAUCAUCCAAGGAACAACUCGACCAAUCGGACACACAAAGUCGCCCACCACCGGGUGCUAGGUCGCCUAGCCCGCCGACAUACUCGCCUACACAUACCCAACCCCUUUGAAAAAUCGCCUAAGCCAGCCAAAACGAACUCGCCCACCACCGGGUGCUAGGUCGCCUAACCCGCUGGUAGGAUCAAGUACUCUACCAGGUCUAGGGCGUAGGUGGUAAGGGAAGGAUGGAGGGAGACGUGGCGAGGAUCGGGCGCGCCGGCGGCAGGGCGCCGUCGCGGCUAGGAGAAGGGCGGCGGCUAGGGCUGUUGGCGGCUAGGGUUCCGGCUCCUUAGGGAGCCGGGCAAUAGGAGAUAAUAUUCUUCUUAUUGCUUGCCUUCAAAAAGAGUCUUACAACCUAUAUUUAUAUCCUAGAUAACUUGUAGAAGAAUCAACCUAAGAUAACUUGCCUAAGAUAACUUGCCUAAUCUGAAAAUAAAAACUAAGAUAACUUGCGGCCUAAGCCGGCCGGCCAUAACACUUCUCCCCGCCUGCACAAACAGCUCGUCCUCGAGCUGUAAGGUGGGGAAGCGCUUGCUUGAACUCUUCGAGGUAAUCAACCAGCGUCAAACACCUUCUCGACAUCUGGGGCGGCCAGGUCGGCGGCGACGGCGUCCUUCGGAAUGUAGUCUGCCACCUCCAGGUAGAAGAGUCGCGGGCAGGCGUGGCCGGGCUUGUAGGGUUCGUCGCAGUUGAAGCACAACCCUUGGCGGCGACGCUCGAGUAUCUCAGCUGGGGUGAGCCGGCGGAACGGGCGCCCCGCGGUCGCGGCGAGGGGUGCCGCAGAAGCCUGCACAGGCCGACCCUGCGCGGAAUCCGGUCCGGGUAGCGACCCAGCAGUCUGGGACGGUGAUUCCUGCUGGAUGGCCACCGCGCGGCGCUCGAAUGCGCGGGCGUAAUACAUGGCCGACUGGAGAUCCUGGGGUCCCCGAAGCUCCACGUCCACGCGGAUAUGGUCCGGUAGACCGCCCACAAAUAACUCGGCGCGCUGAGUUGCGGAGACGCCCGACGCGUGGCACGCCAGGGCCUGGAAGCGGUCGGCGUAGUCCUGCACCGUGGAUGUGAAGGGUAAGCGGCCGAGGGCCGCCAGUCGGCUCCCGCGGAUAGGAGGCCCGAACCGGAGGAGACAGAGUUCCCGGAAGCGCUCCCAUGGUGGCAUGCCGCCCUCGUCCUGCUCGAGGGCGUAGUACCAGGUCUGCGCUGCGCCUCGAAGAUGAUAGGACGCGAGCCAGGUGCGAUCCGAAGCGAGCGUCCGCUGCCCUCGAAAGAACUGCUCGCACUGGUUGAGCCAGUUGAGGGGGGUGGCGAAGUCCAGUUUGGCGAAGCGAGGGGGUGUCGGCCCGCCGUGCCCGGGGGCGGCCGUAGUUGCCGCCGGCGCGUAUGCUGGGUCGGGAAGCGCCGGGGCGUAAUUCGCCGAGCUGGAGGGGUGAUCAAACCGUAGGGAGGGCGUCGGGUGUUCCGGCGCCGUGGAGUAGACCGGCCCCGAAGACGAGCCGGUCGCCCAAGCGGGGAUCGGCGAUGGUGACGGUGGAAACUGCACCUGGUGCAGGGGCUGACCCGUAGCCCUAGGCGCGGGUGGUGGUACUGUCGAUGGCGGCGGCGCCUGGUGGAGCUGCACCGGCGCCUGCGGCGUGGGGGCCGGCGGUGACGCCGGAAGAAGCUGCUGGGUCUGGCCCUGCUCCGAGGCGCCGGUGCCCAGGUUAGGGCUGGGCGGGGCCGGUGGAGGACCCUGCUCCGAGGCCGCUGGAAGGUAGGGCGCGACGGAGGACGGCGCGGCCGGCGCGGUCCAGGUGGGCCACUGCGGCCCCGUGGUGGCGAGAAGUGGCNNNNNNNNNNNNNNNNNNNNNNNNNNNNNNNNNNNNNNNNNNNNNNNNNNNNNNNNNNNNNNNNNNNNNNNNNNNNNNNNNNNNNNNNNNNNNNNNNNNNNNNNNNNNNNNNNNNNNNNNNNNNNNNNNNNNNNNNNNNNNNNNNNNNNNNNNNNNNNNNNNNNNNNNNNNNNNNNNNNNNNNNNNNNNNNNNNNNNNNNNNNNNNNNNNNNNNNNNNNNNNNNNNNNNNNNNNNNNNNNNNNNNNNNNNNNNNNNNNNNNNNNNNNNNNNNNNNNNNNNNNNNNNNNNNNNNNNNNNNNNNNNNNNNNNNNNNNNNNNNNNNNNNNNNNNNNNNNNNNNNNNNNNNNNNNNNNNNNNNNNNNNNNNNNNNNNNNNNNNNNGGUGGAGGACCCUGCUCCGAGGCCGCUGGAAGGUAGGGCGCGACGGAGGACGGCGCGGCCGGCGCGGUCCAGGUGGGCCACUGCGGUCCCGUGGUGGCGAGAAGUGGCGGGGCUGCCGGCGCGAUCUGCGGCGGCCACUGCGCCCAAGGCGGCGGUGCGGCCGCUGGGGCGGGGAGCGCCGGGUAGCCUCCGGUGACGGCCCCCGGUGCCGAGUACCACGGAAGCGCCUGCUGACCCGCGGCCAUGGCUGGAUGGAGUCCGGUGAUGGCCCUCGGUGCCGAGUACCACGGAAGCGCCUGCUGACCCGCGGCCAUGGCUGGAUGGAGUGGUGGGGGCGGCCCGUACGGACCUGCCAGGUAGAGGCGGAUCCCUUGAACCGCGGUGACGAGGUCGUUGAGGACGCCCGCCAUGGCCUCCGCGUGAACUGUUGCGGCUGCGGGGGAGGUGAUGGCGGCGGCGAGUGUUGGACGGGGGCCUGUGGCUGCCCUUGGCCCGGCGUGGUGCCGGGUGCCGUUAGGACCGGCGCUGAGAGCGACGCAGUGGUGCCCGCCGAGAGCGAGGCCGUGACGCCCGGCGCAGAGGCGGCGGCGGUGGAGGAGUUGGCGGGCAGCGGUGGUGGUGGCGGUGGAAUUGGCGGAGACAUGGUCGAAACCCGGUUACCUGAUACCAAAUUGGUAGGAUCAAGUACUCUACCAGGUCUAGGGCGUAGGUGGUAAGGGAAGGAUGGAGGGAGACGUGGCGAGGAUCGGGCGCGCCGGCGGCAGGGCGCCGUCGCGGCUAGGAGAAGGGCGGCGGCUAGGGCUGUUGGCGGCUAGGGUUCCGGCUCCUCAGGGAGCCGGGCAAUAGGAGAUAAUAUUCUUCUUAUUGCUUGCCUUCAAAAAGAGUCUUACAACCUAUAUUUAUAUCCUAGAUAACUUGUAGAAGAAUCAACCUAAGAUAACUUGCCUAAGAUAACUUGCCUAAUCUGAAAAUAAAAACUAAGAUAACUUGCGGCCUAAGCCGGCCGGCCAUAACACCCGCCAACCUACUCGCCUACACAUACACACACCCACCUCCCUUGAAAAAUCGCCUAAGCCGGCCAAAACGAUCUCGCCCACCACCGUGUACUAGGUCGCCUAACCCGCCAACUCACUCGCCUACACACACACACUCACCCCCCUUGAAAAAUGGCCUAAGCCGGCNNNNNNNNNNNNNNNNNNNNNNNNNNNNNNNNNNNNNNNNNNNNNNNNNNNNNNNNNNNNNNNNNNNNNNNNNNNNNNNNNNNNNNNNNNNNNNNNNNNNNNNNNNNNNNNNNNNNNNNNNNNNNNNNNNNNNNNNNNNNNNNNNNNNNNNNNNNNNNNNNNNNNNNNNNNNNNNNNNNNNNNNNNNNNNNNNNNNNNNNNNNNNNNNNNNNNNNNNNNNNNNNNNNNNNNNNNNNNNNNNNNNNNNNNNNNNNNNNNNNNNNNNNNNNNNNNNNNNNNNNNNNNNNNNNNNNNNNNNNNNNNNNNNNNNNNNNNNNNNNNNNNNNNNNNNNNNNNNNNNNNNNNNNNNNNNNNNNNNNNNNNNNNNNNNNNNNNNNNNNNNNNNNNNNNNNNNNNNNNNNNNNNNNNNNNNNNNNNNNNNNNNNNNNNNNNNNNNNNNNNNNNNNNNNNNNNNNNNNNNNNNNNNNNNNNNNNNNNNNNNNNNNNNNNNNNNNNNNNNNNNNNNNNNNNNNNNNNNNNNNNNNNNNNNNNNNNNNNNNNNNNNNNNNNNNNNNNNNNNNNNNNNNNNNNNNNNNNNNNNNNNNNNNNNNNNNNNNNNNNNNNNNNNNNNNNNNNNNNNNNNNNNNNNNNNNNNNNNNNNNNNNNNNNNNNNNNNNNNNNNNNNNNNNNNNNNNNNNNNNNNNNNNNNNNNNNNNNNNNNNNNNNNNNNNNNNNNNNNNNNNNNNNNNNNNNNNNNNNNNNNNNNNNNNNNNNNNNNNNNNNNNNNNNNNNNNNNNNNNNNNNNNNNNNNNNNNNNNNNNNNNNNNNNNNNNNNNNNNNNNNNNNNNNNNNNNNNNNNNNNNNNNNNNNNNNNNNNNNNNNNNNNNNNNNNNNNNNNNNNNNNNNNNNNNNNNNNNNNNNNNNNNNNNNNNNNNNNNNNNNNNNNNNNNNNNNNNNNNNNNNNNNNNNNNNNNNNNNNNNNNNNNNNNNNNNNNNNNNNNNNNNNNNNNNNNNNNNNNNNNNNNNNNNNNNNNNNNNNNNNNNNNNNNNNNNNNNNNNNNNNNNNNNNNNNNNNNNNNNNNNNNNNNNNNNNNNNNNNNNNNNNNNNNNNNNNNNNNNNNNNNNNNNNNNNNNNNNNNNNNNNNNNNNNNNNNNNNNNNNNNNNNNNNNNNNNNNNNNNNNNNNNNNNNNNNNNNNNNNNNNNNNNNNNNNNNNNNNNNNNNNNNNNNNNNNNNNNNNNNNNNNNNNNNNNNNNNNNNNNNNNNNNNNNNNNNNNNNNNNNNNNNNNNNNNNNNNNNNNNNNNNNNNNNNNNNNNNNNNNNNNNNNNNNNNNNNNNNNNNNNNNNNNNNNNNNNNNNNNNNNNNNNNNNNNNNNNNNNNNNNNNNNNNNNNNNNNNNNNNNNNNNNNNNNNNNNNNNNNNNNNNNNNNNNNNNNNNNNNNNNNNNNNNNNNNNNNNNNNNNNNNNNNNNNNNNNNNNNNNNNNNNNNNNNNNNNNNNNNNNNNNNNNNNNNNNNNUGCCCACCAUCGAGUGCUAGGUCGCCUAACCCGCCGACCUACUCGUCUACACUCACACCCACCCCCCUUGAAAAAUCGCCUAACCAGGCGGAAACGAACUCGCCCACCACCGGGUGCUAGGUCGCCAAACUCGCCUACAUACCCACUUGGGUGCUAGGUCGCCUAACCCGCCAACCUACUCGCCUACACACACCCCUUGAAAAAUCGCCUAAGCUGGCCGAGACGAACGUGCCCGCUCCCCCCGGUGCUAGGUCGCCUAACCCAUCGUCCUAGCAACCUAAAUCACCAUUUUUUUGGGCAAUAUUAAGUUUUUCAAUUUUUCGGUUCCGUUUUUUCAUUUUUACAGUAGUUUUUUUAUCAGUGAACUACAAUUAACAUGGAUGUACACUGAUGGAGCAACUAAAUGCAUGUUUUUUGUUUUUUCAGGUAUGGCUGCAGCGAUGUACAAUGCUGAAAACUGGGACGACACCUAUGUCCUGGAGUAUGUAUCAUGACUGUUUUUUGGUUUUUUCAUUUUUUUUCUUUCGCAUACCAACAUGGUCUACUUUAGUAACAAGUAACAUAAAUAACAUGGUCUCUUCUCAAAUUAAAAAGCAUUCAAGUCUUCUCACAAUCAUCAAAAUCAUCAGGGAGUUUAGUGAGAUCAAGCUCAGCCAUAUGCACAUUUUUAGAAGAGGGAAGAAAAUUCUGUAUAAGCGACAAAUUGUAAAUAAAACAAUGAAAACAUCUAGUUUUUCGCUCUCUUUACUACUAGCCAGCUUGGCAUAUCAUGUUUACUACUAGUUGGCAGAAAAAUGGCAGGCGAGAAAUUUACAUUAUUGCUACUUGUAGUACUAGCUCAGACUUUUUUUUCCUGGUUUUUUGUUUUGUAAGCAACCAGUCUCUUCUCAUUUCCAUCUUCCCUUUUUUUUAAUAUGGGAUGUAUGCAAGCUUUAUCGCAACCAGUUUUUCCUCUCCUUUUUUGUGUGCAGAGGCAAGGUGCAAGACAAUAGGCAAGAUAAUUCAAGAGCAGGCAUUUCUUCUCAAGCAUCCAGAUUCAACAUAGGGAAGAGGAGGCAACUACAUGUGAAGGCUAGCAGUAUCACACGGGAGGUACAGAGGGGUAGUCCCAGUAGUUCAAGAACUAAACAGGAAUCAAGAUUUUCUGUUUUGUUUUUGCCCAAGGAUUAGUAGGGAUAAUAGUAGUGCGGAGUACUUCUACCUUGGUGUUUUUUCUGGGAGGAAUUGCCCAGUUUGUCGAAAUUUUCUUGCCAACGUUUGCUCCACAAUAUUGCCUGAUCAGCAACAAAGAGUUGCAGGGCAAAAUCUAUGGCCUUCUUCAGGAUUUGGCUUGAAUUGCCCCUUUUUUGUGUGUUUUCUGUUUGCAAGGAUCUCUCCCCCCUGCUAGGGCUGAUUCAUUGGAUUGGACGGCGCCAACUGACACCGUCCCCAUCAUGAAGGUGAUGUCUUGGUUGCUCGUGGAAUCCUUGUUGUUGGAAUUGAAGAUGUCAGAUGGGCACGAGCAUCCCGACAAUGUACGACAUCGCCGACACUUUGUCCAAUGGCUUCUUCCUCAUGCCUGGCCUGGUCCUGCAACCCACCUGUGGACUCGACUCCUCUAGACACCUAAGGUGUGUGUGANNNNNNNNNNNNNNNNNNNNNNNNNNNNNNNNNNNNNNNNNNNNNNNNNNNNNNNNNNNNNNNNNNNNNNNNNNNNNNNNNNNNNNNNNNNNNNNNNNNNNNNNNNNNNNNNNNNNNNNNNNNNNNNNNNNNNNNNNNNNNNNNNNNNNNNNNNNNNNNNNNNNNNNNNNNNNNNNNNNNNNNNNNNNNNNNNNNNNNNNNNNNNNNNNNNNNNNNNNNNNNNNNNNNNNGGUCACGUGAAGAAGGUGCCUCACAUUAGUCUGAUGUGGUCUAGUUGCCCUGCGACUCGUAUCUUGCCUUCACUAGCUGGAAUUUGGGCUAGGUGCCCCUACAUGGUGGGCACCCAGGCACCUUGUGGGCCCUCCUGGCCCAAGCCUAGCCCCAUGGAUGCUCACUGGUGCAAAACUGGUCCUCGUACUUUUUAUGUAUAUUUUUCAAAGGUUUAAAGUACCUAUUUUUCAUGAAAAUACAAACAAUGGAAACUGGCACAUGCCACUUUGUUAAUAGGUUAGUCCAGAUAAACUUCAAAAACUUCACUGAAGUUAUGGAAAUAUGGCAUGAACAAUUCAAAUAUUAUAGGUAUGUUGGAGAUGUAUGAGCAUCUCUAAGCUUAAUCCAUUCUCGUCCUCGAGCAUAUAUGAUGUAGGGCCAAGCCCUUGCUAGUGAUCUUGCAGGAAUUGGAGGGGGAAACCUCGAAGAACACGGGGAAGAACGUGGAGAAAUCACAAGGGGGACACUCAAGAGCAAGUCGAAUCACACAUCCACUAGACUCAUAACCACACAAGAUCCACAAAGGUACAUGAACAACAAAGGAAACAAAGAUACAAGGUAAAUUUCGUCCCAAAUCCAUGAAGGAGAUGAGGUACUGAAUACAAGAUGGAUCUUCCCUAAAUAGGGGUCUUGAUACCCACUAGGGGGUCUUCUCACAUGCAUGGAGGUCUUAAUCUCCAUGGGAGAGGUGGUAGAUGAGCAAAGCUCUCUCACAAAUUUGAGGUAUCACUUUGCUAACCCUAGCAAGAGGGAGGAGAAGGUCUAUUUAUAGUCUAGGGCGAGAUGGGGGGUGAGAGAGGGGGUUACAUGGUUCUUUGGCCCGAGGCUGCGCGCAGGAGCCGGAUGUCUGGGAGGACGCCGGAUGGCAGGUCGUUCGUGGGGCGCCGGAUGUCCGGCCUGGUGGCCGGUUGAAUUCUCUCCUUCUUUGGAUAGUCGAUGCCGGAUUUUCGGGGAGGCGGUGGAUGUACGGACAUUUGGUGGAUGCCGGAUGUCUGGGGGUCGGCCUGAUGUCCGGCCGCUGUAGAGUCGCCUGGCUUUGUUUCUCUCUGGCCUUCUUCUGGUCGGUGGCGCUGGAUGUCCGGGCUUAGGUCGGAUGUCCGACCGCUGUAGCUUUGCAGCGACUCCACUUGAGGCACUUCUCGCUCCGCUUCCGUGUGGGCUUGCCCUUUGCGCCGAGCUCCUCCAUUGUAGUCUCCUCGGUCCCUGACCACAUGUAGUGUCUUUGUCUUAGGUAGCAACCAUGUCUUGCACGAAUGGAAAGGGAAAGCAUUUAGGAGUGAAUUCACAUUAUGUGCAAUGGCACAUGCUCGAGCUCUCAUCGUAGGUCCACUUUGGGUUUGGGGAUUAGUUGUAGUGUACAUGGGGACGACCGUAGGAUGCUUCACAUCAUCUCCCCCCCUUGGGAAAGAUCGGCUCUUGGGUUGUGAACCUCAUCACCAUGGAAAAGGUAGUCGCGGAUGGAUUUGUAGUUGGACGGAGUGGAUGUCAUGGCGCAAUCUAAGUACUCCAAGUUGUCUCUGAAAUGGUAUACAAGCAAAAAGAGCAAACACAAAGGACACUUGUAAAUACAAUGGUUAAUGCACACAAGGUGUCCAUCAUUUAAGCACAAUUUCGUCCGAAAAGGUUGUUUAUGACAAGGAGCAUGAAGCUUAGUGAAAUGAUAGAGCUUGGCACAUAAAGCAUUCAUGUGAUCAAGGUAAUUGUGCACCAAGUGACAAAUGCUACCAUUGUGUAGGAUGAUUUCAUAGUGGGAAGGUUUAUCAAGAGGAUGAACAUGGCAAUUAUAGCUCAAAAUUAUUGUGUUAUCAUGCAAUUGAUGGUGGGUAAUGCAAUCAUUAUGUACAAAUAUGCCAUCAAGGUAGAUCACAAUAAAUUUGCUAAGAAAGUGCACAAGCUCAUAUAUCAUCUAUGAUAUGGAAAGACAAGAUGCAUCAAGCCAUUCAUAAUGUGUGUCAAUCCAUGAAUAAAGCAAACGUGUGGUGGGUAUGAUGUGUCCAUCGAGUAUGCAUAUCAACAAAUAGGGAGGAGUUGGUGCAAUAUGUCAAAUGCUUGUUGGUGUACCAAUGCUCGAUGUCAUGUCACGAGUGGAGGUCCAGUGGUGCUUACAAAGUAGGCUCAUCCUCCAAGUCUGAUCACUCCUCAAUGUGAUGUCCUAUAGAACCAAGCUCCAAUGUUAUUUCACCAUCCGAUAGAUGUAUCAUGUAGACAACAAGGAGCAAACAACAAUGAAAGUAUGGCCCAUUCAAUAUGAUCAUGUGAGGAUGGCUCAAAGGGAAAGCAUUCACCUUAUGGAGGUUCCCACAAAUGUUGUUGUCGCUCAUCGCGUGUACUUUCUCAUAACCAAUAUGUCUCAUGAAGGUGCCGCUUUGUGAAUCCUUCAAAACGAAAGAACAUGACAAACACUAGGAAAAAUAAAUGAGGUUAGCGUGAAUGCAAAACCUAUCAUUCGGGUGGUGAGAUACCCAAAAAGUGUCUUCAUCAUGCCUAUCAUAAGAAAGGGUACGAGAGGUUGUGGCAUGGUAUGAAAGCAUAUGAUGUGGGGACAACCAAAGUUAUUAAGCUCAUUCAAACAAGCAUGCUUCACAAGUAAGAUGUACAAGUCUCCAAGCAUAAACGGGAAAGAUAGUGCAAUCUCAAUAUCAAUAAGCAUAACAUUGUUGUACUCACUACAAGUGACAAGGGAUGCAACUAUUGGAUACAAAAGACAAUUAUAAAUACAAAUCGUGUGGUGGGGGGCAUGCACAUAUAUGUCAUCAACCCAAUGAAAUGAGCAAUUAUGUAUCAUGGUUGAUGCAACAAGGCAAGCAAUCAUAGUAAUCAAGUCAUGUAAGGUAGUAGUGUGAAGAUGCAACACACUAGAGGAAAUCAUAGCAAUCAUGUCAUGUGUGUAAAUAGUGGGCAUACGUAAUGCACAUGACAUAUCACAAGAAUGAAAACAAGAUAUGAGAAAAGUAUCAUCAAUGUCAUGGGGCACACAUAGAACAUUGCAAUAGCAACUAGGAUGUCCACCAAAUAUGCAACUACACAUAGAAAUAGUAGAAUGGUGAAUCAUGUGUAAAUGCAAACUUGUGUCACAAUUGCAUGGAAAAAGCAUAGAAAGAGGCAUAACAUGCAAAGUGAACACGAGAAAAUGGGCAUAAAGUGAAAAGUGGUAUAUAGCCCAUGGCCGUGUGAGAGUCAAGUAAAAGAUAUGUGUGUCGUCCUUUGAUAACCCACAAGUAUAGGGGAUCACAAUAGUUUUUGAGGGUAGAGUAUUCAACCCAAAUUUAUUGAUUCGACACAAGGAGAGCCAAAGAAUAUUUGCAAGUAUUAGCAGUUGAGUUGUCAAUUCAACCACACCUGGAGAUUAAUUAUCUGCAGCAAGGUGAUCGGUAGCAAAGUAGUAUGAUAGUUUUGAUAGUAGUAUCAACAACAAUAGUAACAGUAACAGUAAUAGCAAUGAUUUUGUAGCAAGUGUAACAGUGACAGUAGUAGUAAUAACUUGGCACGAACAAUAUAAGAGAAAUUCGUAGGUAUUGGAUCGGUGAAUUCGUUGGAUGAUAUUCAUCAUAUAAUAGUCAUAACCUAGGGCGGUACAACACUAGCUCCAGUUCAUAAAUAUAAUGUAGGCAUGUAUUCCGUAAAUAGUCAUACAUGCUUAUGGAAAGAACUUGCAUGAAAUCUUUUGUCCUACCCUCCCGUGGUAGCGGGGUCCAAUUGGAAACUAAGGGAUAUUAAGGCCUCCUUUUAAUAGAGAACCGGAACAAAGCAUUAACGCAUAGUGAAUACAUGAGCUCCUCAAACUACGGUCAUCACCGGAAAGUAUCCCGACUACUAUCACUCCGGGAUUUACGGAUCAUAGCACAUAAUAGGUGAAUAUAACUUGCAAGAUCGGAUCUAGAACAUAGAUAUAAUGGUGAUAACAUAAAUGGUUCAGAUCUGAAAUCAUGACACCCGGGCCCAAAGUGACAAGCAUUAAGCAUGGCAAAGUCAUAUCAACAUCAAUCUCAGAACAUAGUAGAUACUAGGGAUCAAGCCCUAACAAAACUAACUCAAUUACAUGAUGAAUCUCAUCCAAAUCCUCAUCGACCAGUGAGCAUACGAAGGAAUUACUCACUCCUGGCGGGGAGCAUCAUGGAAUUGGCGAUGGAGAAGGGUUGGUGAUGACGAAGAUCGAAGAUCCCCCUCUCCGGAGCCCCAAACGGACUCCAGAUCCGGCCUCCCGAUGAAGAACAUGAGGUGGCGGCGGCUCCGUCUCGUGAAACACGAUAAUUCUUCCUUCCUAAUAUUUCUUGGAAAAAUAGGUAUUUAUGGAGUUGGAUUCAAGGUCCGUGGGGCCACUAGGUGGGGACAACCCACCUGGGCGUGCCAGGCGGGGGGUGGUGCCCUCGUGGGUUGUGCUCACCCAGGCCCCCCGCGGUGGUUCUUGGCUCCAAUAAUUCUCUUUUAUUAUAUAAAAAAUCCUCGCAAAGUUUCAUUCCGAUCUGAGAACUUUUAUUCGUGCACAAAAGCAACACCAUGGUAGUUCUGCUGAAACACCGUCAGUAGUUAUCGGUAUCUUCCAUGGUAAACACAUUAGUGGCGGUUCCCAAGUGAUAAAAGUAAAGGUUUACUCCCCUCCACCAACAAACACACUCCACGACUGAUCCGAAUCCACGGGUACCGUCCAUACCAACAAUAAUCUUGGGGAGUUUUGUUUAAUUACUUGCAAUGUGAAUCCGGGACUGGGAAUCCUAUUACCGCCCCUCUCGUGCAAGGACGAGUGAAUAAACACUCGCCGUGAGAAUAACCGUCCGCUUAGCAUGGAAUAUACAGACUACCUCCUGUCACUCUAUGAACAAUCCAGGCACACAAAAAACGAUAUUUAUUUGAAGUUUUUAGAGGUGGCACAUGAAAAUUCACUUAGAAUGGCAUAGUAAUACCGCAUAUAGGUAGGUAUAUGGUGCACUCAUCUGGAAUAACUUGGGUUUCCUGAUUUUCGAUGCACAAGCAGUAUUCCUGCUUAGUACAGGCGAAGGCUAGCAAAUAGGUUGAGAAGCGGCCAGCUAGAGAGCGAAAACGGUCAUGAACAUGCAUUAUGCAUAAGUAACAUUGGAUACUAGCAUGAGUAGGAUAUUGCUACCUCUUGAGCUUGCGUUGGUUUUCCCCUUAAAGAGGAAAGGGUGAUGCAGCAAAGUAGAGUAAGUAUUUCCCUCAAUUUUGAGAACCAAGGUACCAAUCUAGUAGGAGACAACGCGACAAGCCACCUAAUACCUGCACAAACAAACACCAACUUGCACGCAACGUGAUGAAGGGGUUGUCAAUCCCUUCACGAUUAUUUGCAACGUGAGAUCUGAUAGAGAUGGAUAAAUGGUAAAGUAAUAUUUUUGGUAUUUUUGGUUUAUGGAACGGAAAGUAAAAGAUUGCAAAAAAGUAAAUCGGAAACUAAAAUUAUAGAUUGGAAACUUAUAUGAUGGAAAAUAGACCCGGGCCAUAGGUUUCACUAGAGCCUUCUCUCAAGAUAGAAAUUAUUACGGUGGGUGAACAAAUUACUGCCAAGCAAUUAAUAGAAAAGCGCAAAGUUAUGACAAUAUCUAAGGCAAUGAUCAUGAAUAUAGGCAUCACGUCCGUGUCCAGUAGACCGAAAUGAUUCUGCGUCUACUACUAUUACUCCACACAUCGAUCGACUCCUGCCUCCAUCUAGAGUAUUAAGUUCAUAAGAACAGAGUAACGCAUUAAGUAAGAUGACAUGAUGUGGCAGAAUUAACUCAAGCAAUAUGAUGAAAACCCUAUCUUGUUAUCCUCGAUGGCAACAAUACAAUACGUGUCGGUUCCCCUUCUGUCACCUGUAUCGAGCAUCGCAAGAUUGAACCCAAAGCUAAGCACUUCUCCCAUUGCAAGAAAAACCAAUCUAGUGGGCCAAACCAAAUUGAUAGUUCAAAGAGACUUGCAAAGAUAUCAAAUCAUGCAUAUAAGAAUUCAGAGGAGAUUCAAAUAUUAUUCAUAGAUAAGCUGAUCAUAAAUCCACAAUUCAUCGGAUCUCGGCAAACACACCGCAAAAGAGUAUUACAUCAAAUAGAACUCCAAGAACAUCGAGGAGAACAUGGUAUUGAGAAUCAAAGAGAGAGAAGAAUCCAUCUAGCUACUUGCUAUGGACCCGUAGGUCUGUAGUAAACUACUCACACUUCAUCGGAUAGGCAAUGGUGUUGAUGUAGAAGCCCUCCGUGAUCGAAUCCUCCUCUGGCAAGAUGCCGAAAAAGGCCCCAAGAUGGGAUCUCACGGGUACAGAAGGUUGUGGCGGUGGAAAAGUGGUCUCAUGGCUCCCCUCGAAGUUUUCGGGGUAUUUGAGAAUAUAUAGGAGGAAGAUCUAGGUCAGGGGGUCACCGAGGGGGCCACAAGGUCGGGGGGCACGCCCUACCCCCUGGGCGUGCCCUCCACCCUUGUGGCUGCCUCGUGGCUCUUCUGACUUGCACUCCAAGUCUCCUGGGUGUCUUCUGGUCCAAGAAAAAUCAUCGUGAAAUUUUUAUUCCAUUUGGACUUUGUUUGGUAUUCCUUUUCUGUGAAACUCUAAAACAAGGAAAAAAACAGGAGCUGGCACUGGGCUCUAGGUUAAUAGGUUAGUCCCAAAAAUCAUAUAAAAUAGCAUAUUAAUGCAUAUAAAACAUCCAAAACAGAUAAUAUAAUAGCACGGAACAAUAAAAAAUUAUAGAUACGUUGGAGACGUAUUAGAUAUGAACACCAUGAACAUAAAUAUCAUAGAGUCUAUGUUGGUUUUGAUUCAACUACAUGCAUGAACAUGUGCCAAGUCAAGCCACUCGAACAUUCAGAGGAGGAUACCAUAUCAUCAUACUACAUCACAAUCAUUUUAACGGAAUGUUGGCAUCCAAUAUAAAUCAUCAUCCACUCCUAGCUACUUAAGCAUGGCAUGAGAAACUAUAAUCUCUAAGGGUCAUUGCAAAUAUGUUUAAUCAUACUAGAUUGAAUCAUGGAUACUAGGUUAAACAUAUUUACAAAAUAGAGCAAGUUGAGUUCAUACCCGUUUCUCUCUGCCACAACUAGUUCAUCAAAUAUCAUCAUUAUUGCCUUUCACUUGCACGGCCGAAUGAUAUGAAAAUAAUAAUAGUGCAAGAGUGCCCUGGACUAAGCUGGAAUCUGCAAACAAUUUUACUCAACAGGGGAAGACAAGGUAAUAUGGGCUCUUUGUUAGAUAAGUAAAAAUGCAUAUGAGGGCCACUCAACGUGUUGACCGUGGUCUUCUCCCCGGUAUGACUCAAUAAAAAUAAAAGAAAUUCAGAGAAACACACUGAAAUAUUUUUGGAGUUUUUAGUUUUUCUUGAAGAAGGCAAAGUAGCAAAAUAAAAACAAAAACAAGAAAAACUAUUUACACGGGGGAGCUCCCAACAAGCAAAAGAAGAAUCGAGAAAUAUUUUUGGGUUUUCUUUUAAAUGCUACAACUAAUUAAACUAGAAAGAAAAACCAAAAAGAAGCAUGAAUUUUUUUAAUUUUCUCAAAGUUUUUAAACACACAAGAAGAAAGCGAGAAAAUAUAUCUAGCAUGGAUGAUACAAUGAAAAAGUGUGGACACUGUUGGGGAUAUAACUAUUGGGUAUGACCCGCCUAGGAGGGGCCGGGUCAUGCCUCUGGCGGCUUAAGGAGAGAAGGACCAAAAGGACAAUGAGGAUGGCGGUCCAUAGAGCAAGCUUAUUGAAAGCCCAAGACCCAGAGGUGACUUGAGGCCCAUGGGUAUGAACCGCCAUAUUGUGUAACUUGUAUUGUAAGGCAAGCUUAGUUAGUCACCGAGCUGGACACAUUGUGUAUGAGCCGGCCGGGACUCUAUAAGCCGCCGGGCAUCAACCUGUGUAUAUAAAGGGGUGACCCGGCGGUGGGUUAAGGCAAGAAACAAUUGAUUGAGGGCUAGGUCAAGCGUAUUGGAUCCCUGGUCAUCGAAAUCCAAGCAAUACAACCAAAAGCAGGAGUAGGCUUUUACCUCGUUGAGAGGGGACGAACCUGGGUAAACCCUUCGUGUCCUUUGUCCCGUUUAACCCCUUCAAGCUAACUAUAUUGAGAUGGCUCCACAUCUAAGUCCUUUUGCUAGGCAUCUGCCGUGUUAAGUUGUAACACCCCGGAUGUAACUUUCCCAAUUUGUACUCCAACGCUUGCCGUUUCCGGCGUUAAGCUAUAUUUAUUUUCUCGGGUUCGGGUUUUUGUCUCCGUGUGUUGUUGUCAUUGUCAUGCAUCUCAUAUCAUGUCAUCAUGUGCUUUGCAUUUGCAUACGUGUUCGUCUCAUGCAUUCAAGCAUUUUCCCCGUUGUCCGUUUUGCAUUCCGGCGCUUCGUUCUCCUCCGGGGGUCAUUUCUAGCUUUCUUUCGUGUGUGGGGAUUAAACAUUUCCGUAUUGGACCGAGACUUGCCAAGCGGCCUUGGUUUACUACCGGUAGACCGCCUGUCAAGUUUUGUAUCAUUUGGACUUCGUUUGAUACUCCAACGGUUAACCGAGGGACCGAAAAGGCCUCGUGUGUGUUGCAGCCCAACACCCCUCCAAUUUGGCCCAAAACCCACCUAACUCUACUCCAUCAUAUAGAGCGUUCGAUCACGAUCGCGUGGCCGAAAACCGCACCUCAUUUGGACUCUCCUAGCUCCCCCUAUGCCUAUUUAAACACCCCCCGAAAUCCGGAUCUUCCUCUCCCCCGAAAACCAUAUUUUCCCCUUCGACGCGCCGGACAUUAUCCGCCCGCGCCGGACUCUCCGCGCCGCCGCCCCCGCACCAGUCGCACGCCGCCACNNNNNNNNNNNNNNNNNNNNNNNNNNNNNNNNNNNNNNNNNNNNNNNNNNNNNNNNNNNNNNNNNNNNNNNNNNNNNNNNNNNNNNNNNNNNNNNNNNNNNNNNNNNNNNNNNNNNNNNNNNNNNNNNNNNNNNNNNNNNNNNNNNNNNNNNNNNNNNNNNNNNNNNNNNNNNNNNNNNNNNNNNNNNNNNNNNNNNNNNNNNNNNNNNNNNNNNNNNNNNNNNNNNNNNNNNNNNNNNNNNNNNNNNNNNNNNNNNNNNNNNNNNNNNNNNNNNNNNNNNNNNNNNNNNNNNNNNNNNNNNNNNNNNNNNNNNNNNNNNNNNNNNNNNGCCGCCACGUGGCACUCCGCCCCAGCCGCCGCCGCGGCCCGCGAGGCCCGCUCGGGGCCCCCGCGAGCCCAUCGCCGCCGCCUGCCUCCUCCCGCGCCGCGCCGCCACCUCCCUCUCCUCCGAGCCGCAGCCGCCGCCUCCACGCGCCGCCGCCGCCACUGCGCCGCGCCGCCACCACCAGCCGCCCUCGUCGCUCCGGCGACCCGCGCCGGCCGGAGCCGCCCCGGCAGCCGCCUCCCCGACCUCCUCCGGCGACGUCCCGCUCCGGCCGUGAACAGUGCUCAUCGGAGUUUGCCUCGUUUUGCGUGCCACCAAACCCUAGAUCCAGAUCUAGGAGGUUGUUUUUUUCCCCAAGUCCUUGAAAUUUCAGUCCAAGUGCUCAUGUUCACGGCUCCGUAACUUUGCAUCCGUAGCUCCGAUUCAUGCAUAUAGCAUAUCAAAAUGUUCAUCUCAGAGAUUACAUCAUUUCAUUCCAUUGCAUCAUUUUCAUUUGAGUUCAUCUUGAUGCCCGAAAUGCUGUUAGAAGAGGGCUAGUUGAGUUAAUUGUCAGAUCUGCUACUCCGUUUAGCACUUUUGUCAUUUUUGCCAUGAUUAUUGUGUGCAUAAUAUGCCCGUGAGUUCUACAUAUGUUUUGUUAAGGGUUUUGUCAUAUUUCCAUAGGUGCAACCCAUGUAUUUUUAGGAUGUGUGUCGUGUCUAGUGCAAGCUUGCAAAGUGGUGCACUUGCUAAUUCUGUUUUCAGGGACUUAGUAAUUUCACUAAGUCCUGGAGCUGUUUAUCUCAUGAUGCCAUAUGUUCUUGUUGUUUCUUAGUGAUCAGUGCCUCUUUUGAGGAUGGUCAGUAAGGAUGUUUUGUUAAUAUUGUAGUGCUCUAUCCAUCCAUGUCUUUGUUUGCAAUUAUGGAUCACCCUAGCUUGAGUCAAUCAGCUCUACUUUUGCUACUUUGUGAAUCUGGGCAGAUUGUCAACUUGUUUGCAAUUUUGCCGGUGAUGUUGUAGUUGAUCCGUGCAUGCUAUGCUAUUGUUCUUGCCAUGUCUAGCUUGAAUUUUGUGCCUUCUUGAUAGAUGUAUGCUUGUCUUGCCAUGACCUGCACCGUAGUGAGCGCAUCGAGCUCGUAAACAUGCCUACUUGAGUUAUAUUUCAGCAUGUGUCAGUUUUUCUCUAAGUAUGAAAACUGAUUAUGUUUUUGCUAUGUUCACAUGCUUGCAAUUGUAUUUUCUGAUCCCUUUUGGCUCAAGGUCACUAAGGGACUUUUGUUAAGCUCUUUGAGUAGCUCCAUGCAAUGCUUUACUUUGCCAUGUUCAGAUCCUGUAGCAUGUAGUUUUGUUGCUCCGAAGCGGGCUACCUGAUCUGAAAUUCCAGACAAGUGUUGAUUUCACUAAGUCUGAGAUCUGUUUGUCAUUUGCAUUUUUGCCAUGCUUGUUUGAACCUUUUAAUGGAUGAAUUGGCCGUAGCUCAGUGCUAGACUUUUGUUAAGAAUCUUGUAUGCAUCCCUGCCAUGUAUUUUGUUGUCAUGUUUGGGUGCUGUUGCAUCUUUUCGAUAUUCAAGAGAAAAUGGGUCUCAUCCGGCCUAGUUCUUCUCCGUGGGGUUGUGGUGUUCUUUUUGUGAAGAAGAAGGAUGGAACGGACCGACUUUGUGUUGAUUACCGUCCAGUGAACAAGAAGACCAUCAAGAACAAAUACCCACUUCCUAACAUCAAUGAGCUGCUCGAACAACUCAAAGGUGCCCAAGUAUUCUCCAAGCUUGAUCUCCGUAUGGGUUAUCAUCAGAUUCGAAUCCGUGAGCAAGAUAUUCCCAAGACGGCUUUCAGGACAAGCUUUGGUUCAUAUGAAUACACCGUCAUAUCUUUUGGCCUCGUCAACGCUCCUCCGACGUUCUCUCGCAUGAUGAACUUCAUCUUCAACGCCUACACCAAUGACUUCGUUUUGUUCUAUCUCGACGACAUUCUAGUUUUCUCCAAGAACAAGGAAGAUCAUGCCAAGCACUUGCGUUUGGUUCUCGAUAAGCUCAGGGAACAUCAGUUCUACGCCAAGUUCUCCAAGUGUGAAUUUUGGCUCGAUGAGGUUCUUUAUCUUGGUCAUAUCAUCUCCGCCAAGGGCAUUGCCGUGAAUCCUGAGAAGGUGUCUGCAAUUGUGAAUUGGGAACCUCCUCAGAAUGUGAAGCAACUCCGUAGCUUCCUCGGUCUCGCAAGCUAUUGCCGAAGAUUCGUUGAAAACUUUUCUAAGAUCGCAAAGCCUCUCUCAAAUCUUCUUCAGAAGCACGUCAAGUACGUUUGGUCUCCGGAGUGUGACAUUGCUUUCAACACUUUGAAAGAGAAAUUGAUCACUGCUCCAGUUCUGACUCCGCCUGAUGAAUCCAAGCCGUACGAGGUCUUUUGUGAUGCCUCUCUCCAAGGUCUUGGCCCAGUUUUGAUGCAAGAGAAGAAAGUUGUUGCUUAUACAUCUCGCCAGUUGAAGCCUAAUGAGAAGAACUACCCCACUCAUGAUCUCGAGUUGGCGGCAGUUGUGCAUGCUCUUUUGACUUGGAGACAUCUUCUAUUGGGAAGAAAAGUGGACAUUUUCACUGAUCACAAGAGUCUCAAGUACAUCUUCACUCAGCCUAAUCUCAACCUCAGGCAAACUCGAUGGGUCAAAAUGAUUCAAGAGUAUAAUCCGAGUAUUGAGUAUACUCCAGGAAAGGCCAAUGUGAUUGCUGACGCUUUGAGCAGGAAGGCGUACUGCAACAGUCUGAUUCUUAAACCUUAUCAACCCGAGCUUUGUGAAGCUUUCCGCAAACUUAAUCUGCAAGUUGUUCCUCAAGGUUUCCUCGCCAACCUUCUAGUCUCUCCUACCUUAGAAGACCAGAUUUGCCAAGCCCAGCUUCUUGAUGCUAUGGUGAAAAAGGUGAAGAUUGGGAUUGCCAAGAGUCAGUCCAAGUACAAGUGCUACCGCCUUGAUGACAAGGACACUCUCUUCUUCGAGGAUCGUAUUGUUGUACCCAAAGGUGACCUUCGUAAAGUGAUCAUGAACGAGGCUCACAAUUCUCUCCUCUCCAUCCACCCUGGGAGCACGAAGAUGUAUCAGGACCUUAAACAAGCUUAUUGGUGGACUCGAAUGAAGCACGAGAUUGCUCAAUUCGUGAAUGAAUGUGAUGUCUGCAGAAGAGUGAAGGCAGAACACCAAAGGCCAGCUGGUCUCCUCCAACCUCUUGCCAUUCCAGAAUGGAAGUUUGACCAUAUUGAGAUGGACUUCGUGAGUGGGUUUCCAAAGUCCAAGCGUGGCAAUGAUGCUAUAUUCGUUGUCAUCGACAAACUCACCAAAGUGGCUCACUUUCUGCCUAUCAAAGAGUCGAUCACUGCAGAUCAAUUGGCGGAACUCUAUACCUCUCGUAUUGUCUCUCUGCACGGUAUUCCACAAGUGAUCUCUUCAGACCGUGGCAACAUCUUUACCUCGAAGUUUUGGGAUUCUUUUCAGAUGGCCAUGGGCACCAACAUCCGCUUCAGCACAGCUUUCCAUCCUCAAACUAGCGGUCAAGUCGAGCGUGUCAACCAGAUUCUUGAAGAUAUGCUCAGGGAUUGUGUGAUCUCCUUCGGCAUGAAGUGGGAGGAUUGUCUUCCUUAUGCUGAAUUCUCCUACAACAACAGUUUUCAAGCAAGUUCGGGCAAGGCCCCAUUUGAAAUUUUGUAUGGCAAGAAGUGUCGUACCCCUCUCAACUGGUCUGAAACUGGUGAACGUCAGCUUUUGGGUAAUGACUUAAUCACAGAGGCAGAAGAAAUGUGCAAAGUCAUUAGAGAUAACCUCAAAGCGGCCCAAUCCCGCCAGAAGAGCUACUAUGAUAGUAAGCACCGUGAUUUGGCUUUCGAGAUUGGAGAUCAUGUUUACCUCUGUGUCUCUCCUAUGAAAGGUACUCGUCGCUUCGGUAUCAAAGGGAAGCUUGCCCCUAGAUACAUGGGACCUUUCAAGAUUGUCAGCAAGAGAGGCGACCUCGCCUAUCAACUCGAGCUUCCUUCAAACUUUGCAAAUGUUCAUGACGUGUUCCAUGUCUCUCAGCUUCGAAAGUGCUUCAAGACUCCUGACCGCACCGUCAACUUCGAGGACAUUGAGCUCCAAGAAGAUCUCUCUUGUCGUGAGCACCCAGUUGCUAUUCUUGAAGAGACUGAACGCAAGACUCGCAACAAGUCGAUCAAAUUUCUCAAAGUCAAGUGGUCACACCAUUCCGACCAUGAAGCUACCUGGGAACGCGAGGAUCACCUCCGUUCUGAGUACCCGGCGUUCUUUCAGUCCUAGAUCUCGGGACGAGAUCCUUUCGUAGUGGUGGAGUGUUGUAACACCCCGGAUGUAACUUUCCCAAUUUGUACUCCAACUCUUGCCGUUUCUGGCGUUAAGCUAUAUUUAUUUUCUCGGGUUCGGGUUUUUGUCUCCGUGUGUUGUUGUCGUUGUCAUGCAUCUCAUAUCAUGUCAUCAUGUGCUUUGCAUUUGCAUACGUGUUCGUCUCAUGCAUUCGAGCAUUUUCCCCGUUGUCCGUUUUGCAUUCCGGCGCUUCGUUCUCCUCCGGUGGUCAUUUCUAGCUUUCUUUCGUGUGUGGGGAUUAAACAUUUCCAGAUUGGACCGAGACUUGCCAAGUAGCCUUGGUUUACUACCGGUAGACCGCCUGUCAAGUUUCGUAUCAUUUGGACUUCGUUUGAUACUCCAACGGUUAACCGAGGGACCGAAAAGGCCUCGUGUGUGUUGCAGCCCAACACCCCUCCAAUUUGGCCCAAGACCCACCUAACUCUGCUCCAUCAUCUAGAGCGUUCUAUCACGAUUGCGUGGCCUAAAACCGCACCUCAUUUGGACUCUCCUAGCUCCCCCUAUGCCUAUUUAAACACCCCCCGAAAUCCAGAUCUUCCUCUCCCCCGAAAACCCUAUUUUCCCCUCCGAUGCGCUGGACAUUGUCCGCCCGCACCGGACGCUCCGUGCCGCCGCCCCCGCACCAGUCGCAUGCCGCCAUGUGGCACUCCGCCGCCAGUCGCCGCCGCGGCCCGCGAGGCCCGCUCGGGGCCCCCGCGAGCCNNNNNNNNNNNNNNNNNNNNNNNNNNNNNNNNNNNNNNNNNNNNNNNNNNNNNNNNNNNNNNNNNNNNNNNNNNNNNNNNNNNNNNNNNNNNNNNNNNNNNNNNNNNNNNNNNNNNNNNNNNNNNNNNNNNNNNNNNNNNNNNNNNNNNNNNNNNNNNNNNNNNNNNNNNNNNNNNNNNNNNNNNNNNNNNNNNNNNNNNNNNNNNNNNNNNNNNNNNNNNNNNNNNNNNNNNNNNNNNNNNNNNNNNNNNNNNNNNNNNNNNNNNNNNNNNNNNNNNNNNNNNNNNNNNNNNNNNNNNNNNNNNNNNNNNNNNNNNNNNNNNNNNNNNNNNNNNNNNNNNNNNNNNNNNNNNNNNNNNNNNNNNNNNNNNNNNNNNNNNNNNNNNNNNNNNNNNNNNNNNNNNNNNNNNNNNNNNUCGCUCCGGCGACCCGCGCCGGCCGGAGCCGCCCCGGCAGCCGCCUCCCCGACCUCCUCCGGCGACGUCCCGCUCCGGCCGUGAAUAGUGCUCACCGGAGUUUGCCUCGUUUUGCGUGCCACCAAACCCUAGAUCCAGAUCUGGGAGGUUGUUUUUUUCCCUAAGUCCUUGAAAUUUCAGUCCAAGUGCUCAUGUUCACGGCUCCAUAACUUUGCAUCCGUAGCUCCGUUUCAUGCAUAUAGCAUAUCAAAAUGUUCAUCUCAGAGCGUACAUCAUUUCAUUCCAUUGCAUCAUUUUCAUUUGAGUUCAUCUUGAUGCCAGAAAUGCUGUUAGAAGAGGGCUAGUUGAGUUAAUUGUCAGAUCUGCUACUCCGUUUAGCACUUUUGUCAUUUUUGCCAUGAUUAUUGUGUGCAUAAUAUGCCCGUGAGUUCUACAUAUGUUUUGUUAAGGGUUUUGUCAUAUUUCCAGAGGUGCAACCCAUGUAUUUUUAGGAUGUGUGUGGUGUCUAGUGCAAGCUUGCAAAGUGGUGCACUUGCUAAUUCUAUUUUCAGGGACUUAGUAAUUUCACUAAGUCCUGGAGCUGUUUAUCUCAUGAUGCCAUAUGUUCUUGUUGUUUCUUAGUGAUCCGUGCCUCUUUUGAGGAUGGUCAGUAAGGAUGUUUUGUUAAUAUUGUAGUGCUCUAUCCAUCCAUGUCUUUGUUUGCAAUUAUGGAUCACCCUAGCUUGAGUCAAUCGAGCUCUACUUUUGCUACUUUGUGAAUCUGGGCAGAUUGUCAACUUGUUUGCAAUUUUGCCGGUGAUGUUGUAGUUGAUCCGUGCAUGCUAUGCUAUUGUUCUUGCCAUGUCUAGCUUGAAUUUUGUGCCUUCUUGAUAGAUGUAUGCUUGUCUUGCCAUGACUUGAACCGUAGUGAGCGCAUCGAGCUCGUAAACAUGCCUACUUGAGUUAUAUUUCAGCAUGUGUCAGUUUUUCUCUAAGUAUGAAAACUGAUUAUGUUUUUGCUAUGUUCACAUGCUUGCAAUUGUAUUUUCUGAUCCCUUUUGGCUCAAGGUCACUAAGGGACUUUUGUUAAGCUCUUUGAGUAGCUCCAUGCAAUGCUUUACUUUGCCAUGUUCAGAUCCUGUAGCAUGUAGUUUUGUUGCUCCGAAGCGGGCUACCUGAUCUGAAAUUCCAGACAAGUGUUGAUUUCACUAAGUCUGAGAUCUGUUUGUCAUUUGCAUUUUUGCCAUGCUUGUUUGAACCUGUUAAUGGAUGAAUUGGCCGUAGCUCAGUGCUAGACUUUUGUUAAGCAUCUUGUAUGCAUCCCUGCCAUGUAUUUUGUUGUCAUGUUUGGGUGCCUACUCAUUGCAUUUAGAUGCCUACUUGUUGUAAAUCGCAGACCGGUGUCAUUUUUGAAUCGCUUGCCAUUUCCAAACCGUAACUCCGAUUUCGGCGUUCUUUAUAUCGUUUUCAAGCGAUUUCAUCUCAUCUUUCCAGUGGCACACUUGGAUUUCCAAGUUGAGGCCAGGUUCAUGCAUUUCCUGUCAUAUAUUGCAUUUUGCAUCCCGCAUCGCAUCCCGCAUAGCAUAUCAUCUUUGCAUUGUGUUGUUUGAGUUUGCACGUGGUUGAUUGUAUCCUUGUUGCUUGUUUGUCUUGUUUGGGUAGAGUCGGGAGACGAUUUCGCUAACGAGGAGCCCGUUGAGUUUGCUUUCAAGGAUCCAGGCAACUCUGACAACUGUGCAGGCAAGAUGAUCAUACCCUCGAAAUCACUACUAUCUUUGCUAUGCUAGUUUGCUCGCUCUUUGCUAUGCCAUUGCUACGAUGCCUACCAUUUGCUUGCAAGCCUCCCAAAUUGCCAUGUCAAACCUCUAACCCAUCAUUGUCCUAGCAAACCGUUGAUUGGCUAUGUUACCGCUUUGCUCAGCCCCUCUUAUAGCGUUGCUAGUUGCAGGUGAAGAUUGGAGGCCGUUCCUUGUUGGAACAUCUUUUAUUUACUUGUUGUGAUAUCAUUAUAUUAUCUUGUUAUCUUAAUGCAUCUAUACACUUGGUAAUGGGUGGAAGGCUCGGCCUCUCGCCUAGUGUUUUGUUCCACUCUUGCCGCCCUAGUUUCUGUCAUAUCAGUGUUAUGUUCCUGGAUUUUACGUCCCUUACGCGGUUGGGUUAUAAUGGGAACCCCUUGAUAGUUCGCCUUGAUUAAAGCUUUUCCAGCAAUGCCCAACAUUGGUCUUACCAUUUGCCACCUAGCCUCUUUUUCCCUUGGGUUUUCGGAGCCCGAGGGUCAUCUUAUUUUAACCCCCCCCCGGGCCAGUGCUCCUCUGAGUGUUGGUCCAAAUAGAGCCACUUGUAGCGCCACCUCGGGGCAACUUGAGGGUUGGUUUUAGUUGUACGUAGUGUUCAUCUGAGUGUGCCCUGAGAAAGAGAUAUGUGCAGCUCCUAUCGGGAUUUGUCGGCACAUUCGGGCGGUGUUGCUGGAUUUGUUUUAACCUGUCGAAGUGUCUUGAGUAACCGAGAUACCGAGUCUGAUCGGAACGUCUUGGGAGGAGGUCUAUUCCUUCGUUGACCGUGAGAGCUUGCCAUGGGCUAAGUUGGGACUCCCCUGCAGGGAUUUGAACUUUCGAAAGCCGUGCCCGCGGUUAUGGGCAGAUGGGAAUUUGUUAUUGUCUGGUUGUAGAUAACUUGAACCUUAAUUAAUUAAAAUGAAUCAACCGAGUGUGUUACCGUGAUGGCCUCUUCCCGGCGGAGUCCGGGAAGUGGACACGGUGUUGGAGUAAUGUUUGCGCAGGUUGCUCUCUAUUUUGUCGCUCGCGCUUUGCCUCCUCUUCUCGCUCUCUUCUGCGUAUAAGUUAGCCACCAUAUUUUGCUAGUCGCUUGCUGCAGCUCCACUCAUAUUUACCUUGCCAUACCUACAACCUUAAAUAGUCUUGAUCGCGAGGGUGCAAGAUUGCUGAGUCCUUGUGGCUCACAGAUUACUACUACACCAGAUGCAGGGCCUGAUGAUUCCGCUCCAGGAGACGCGUACGAGCUCAAGUGGGAGUUCGACGAGGACUCUCAAUGUUACUAUGUUUCCUUCCCCGAUGAUCAGUAGUGGUGCCCAGUUGGGGGUGAACGGGACCGUUCUCGCAUGUUGGGUUCUCUUUUAUUUUGGCGCCGUAGUCGGUCCAUGAGUGUUUGGGUGAUGUAAUGUUAUUUAUGUACUUGAUUGACGUGGCGAGUGUAAGCUAACUAUUGUUAUCUCCCCUUUAUUAUUCAUAUUACAUGGGAUGUUGUGAAGAUUGCCUAACUUGCGACAUAUGCCUUCAAUGCGAUUAUGUCUCCAAGUCGUGCCUCGACACAUGGGAGCUAUAGUCGCAUCAAGGGUGUUACAUAAGUCCACGACAGUUGGCGCCCACCGUGGGGCCCGCGCAUGGUGGUUUUGAGUUCUUGAAGGGAUGCUUCACUGGGAUCAAGAGAUACGCCGUGGGCCGGAUGACCAAGAGUUGUCGCGGCAAGCUCUACAUCGAUGAUGCUGGCUGGGGCCCCGAGGCCGGCUCAAUUGAGUACGGGUACCGGGUCCCCUUCGGCGGAAUCCACGUCUUCAUCGGCAAGAUCAGUGAGUCGGGCCCUGAGCCAGACACCUGCACCGACAUCAUCGAGACGGCUCAGCUUGCACGACCCGCCAAGGUUCAAAUUGUUGUGAAGCAUGAUACGCCCAUUUUGCAUCAUGCUUUUAUAUUGAUAUUUAUUGCAUUAUGGGUUGUUAUUGCACAUUAUGUCACAAAACUUACGCCUAUUCUCUUUUAUUUUACAAGGUUUACAUGAAGAGGGAGAAUGCCGACAACUGGAAUUCUGGGCUGAAAGAGGAGUAAAUAUUAGAGACCUAAUCUGCACAACUCCAGAAGUCCUGAAACUUCACGGGAGCACGUUUCAGAAUAUAUAAAAAAUAUUGGGCGAAAGAAGUACCAGAGGGGGGCCACCCAUUGUCCACGAGGGUGGGGGGAGCCCCCUACCCCCUGGGCGCGCCCCCUGCCUCGUGGACCCCCUAGUGGCCCUAUGAUGCCCAUCUUUGGCUAUAUGGAGUAUUUCGUUGAGGAAAAAAAUCAUAAGCAAGCUCACGGGACGAAACUCCGCCGCCACGAGGCGGAACCUUGGCGGAACCAAUCUAGGGCUCCGACGGAGCUGUUCUGCCGGGGAAACUUCCCUCUGGGAGGGGGAAAUCAUCACCAUCAUCAUCACCAACGAUCCUCUCAUCGGGAGGGGGUCAAUCUCCAUCAACAUCUUCACCAGCACCAUCUCAUCUCAAACCCUAGUUCAUCUCUUGUAUCCAAUCUUUGUCCCAAAGCCUCAGAUUGGUACCUGUGGGUUGCUAGUAGUGUUGAUUACUCCUUGUAGUUGAUGCUAGUUGGUUUACUUGGUGGAAGAUCAUAUGUUCAGAUCCAUUAUGCAUAUUAAUACCCCUCUGAUUAUGAACAUGAAUAUGCUUUGUGAGUAGUUAAGUUUGUUCCUGAGGACAUGGGAGAAGUCUUGCUAUAAGUAGUCAUGUGAAUUUGGUAUUCGUUCGAUAUUUUGAUGAAAUGUAUGAUGUCUUUCCUCUAGUGGUGUCAUGUGAAUGUCGACUACAUGACACUUCACCAUUGUUUGGGCCUAGAGGAGGGCAUUGGGAAGUAAUAAGUAGAUGAUGGGUUGCUAGAGUGAUAGAAGCUUAAACCCUAGUUUAUGCGUUGCUUCGUAAGGGGUUGAUUUGGAUCCAUAUGUUUCAUGCUAUGGUUAGGUUUACCUUAAUACUUCUGUUGUAGUUGCGGAUGCUUGCAAUAGGGGUUAAUCAUAAGUGGGAUGCUUGUCCAAGGAAGGACAGUACCCAAGCACCGGUCCACCCACAUAUCAAAUUAUCAAAGUACCGAACGUGAAUCAUAUGAACGUGUUGAAAACUAGCUUGAAGAUAAUUCCCAUGUGUCCUCGGGAGCACUUUCCUUUAUAUAAGAGUUUGUCCAGGCUUGUCCUUUGCUACAAAAAGGAUUGGGCUAUCUUGCUGCACCUUAUUUACUUUUACUAUUUGUUACCCGUUACCAAUUACCUUAUCAGAAAACUAUCUGUUACCGAUAAUUUCAGUGCUUGCAGAAAAUACCUUGCUGAAAACCACUUAUCAUUUCCUUCUACUCCUCAUUGGGUUCGACACUCUUACUUAUCGAAAAGGCUACGGUAGAUCUCCUACACUUGUGGGUCAUCAAGACUCUUUUUUGGCGUCGUUGCCGGGGAGUGAAGCGCCUUUUGUAGGUGGAAUUUGGUAAGGAAAAAUUUAUAUAGUGUGCUGAAAUUUACUGUCACUUGUUACUAUGGAACAUAAUCCUUUGAGGGGCUUGUUCAGGGUAUCUUCACCCCGACCAGUAGAGCAAAGAGUUGCUCCUCAACCUACUGAACCUACUGAAAAUGUUUACUUUCAAAUUCCUUCGGGUAUGAUAGAGAAACUGCUAGCUAAUCCUUUUACAGGAGAUGGAACAUUGCAUCCCGAUUUGCACCUAAUCGAUGUGGAUGAAGUUUGUGGAUUAUUUAAGCUUGCAGGUAUGCCCGAGGAUGUUAUCAAGAAGAAGGUCUUCCCUUUAUCUUUUAAGGGAGCGGCAUUGACAUGUAGGCUAUGUGAUGAUAUGGGAUCAUGGAACUAUAACCGAUUGAAAUUGGAAUUUCAUCAGAAGUUUUAUCCUAUGCAUCUUGUUCAUCGUGAUCGUAAUUAUAUAUAUAAUUUUUGGCCUAGCGAAGGAGAAAGCAUCACUCAAGCUUGGUGGAGGCUUAAGUCAAUGUUAUAUUCAUGACCCAAUCAUGAGCUCUCAAAAGAAAUGAUUAUUCAAAAAUUUUAUGCUCGGCUUUCUCUCAUAAUCGCUCCAUGCUCGAUACUUCUUCUAUUGGAUCUUUUAUGAUGAAGACUAUUGAAUUCAAAUUGGAUUUAUUGGAAAGAAUUAAACGCAACUCUGAAGAUUGGGACCUUGACGAAGGUAAGGAGUCAGGUAUAACACCCAAGUUUGAUUGUGUUAAAUCUUUUAUGGAUACCGACGCUUUCCGUGAAUUUAGCACUAAAUAUGGACUUGACUAUGAGAUAGUAGCUUCUUUCUGUGAAUCCUUUGCUACUCAUGUUGAUCUCCCUAAGGAGAAGUGGUUUAAAUAUAAUCCUCCCAUUGAAGUAAAAGUAGUUGCACCUAUUAAAGUUGAAGAAAAGACUAUCACUUAUAAUGAUCCUGUUGUUCCCACUGCUUAUAUUGAGAAACCACCUUUCCCUGUUAGAAAAAGGAUUAUGCUAAAGCUUCAACUGUGGUUCGUAAGAGCAAUACUAGAACACCUACUCCUUCUGAGCAAAUUAAAUUUGAACCUAGUGUUCCUAUGGUUAAAGAUCUCUUGGCCGAUAAUAUUGAUGGGCAUGUUAUUUACUUCUGUAAUGAAGCUGCUAGAAUUGCUAGACCUGAUACUAAAAAUAAACAUAGACCUGUUGUAGGCAUGCCUGUUAUUUCUAUUAAAAUAGGAGAUCAUUGCUAUCAUGGCUUAUGUGAUAUGGGUGCUAGUGCAAGUGCAAUACCUCAUUCCUUAUACAAAGAAAUUAUGCAUGAUAUUGCACCUACUGAGUUAGAAGAAAUUGAUGUUACAAUUAAGCUUGCCAAUAGAGACACUAUUUCACCCGUUGGGAUUGUUAGACAUGUUGAAGUCUUGUGUGGGAAAGUUAAAUAUCCUGCUGAUUUUCUUGUUCUCGGUUCCCCACAAGAUGACUUUUGUCCCAUUAUUUUUGGUCGACCCUUCUUGAAUACUGUUAAUGCUAAGAUAGACUACAAUUCUGUUGGUUUAGGGGAUAUGUAUCAUGAGUUUAAUUUUGCUAAGUUUCGUAGAAAACCCCAUGAUAAAGAAUUGACAAGCAAAUAUGAAAUUAUUGGUCUUGCUUCUAUUGUCGUGCCUCCUAAUGAUCCUUUAAAGCAAUAUUUGCUAGACCAUGAAAAUGAUAUGUUUAUGAAUGAAAGAAGGGAAAUAGAUGAAGUAUUCUUUAAACAUGGACCUAUUUUGAGACACAACUUGCCUAUUGAAUCCCUAGGGGGUCCUCCUCCACCCAAGGGUGAUCCCGUGUUUGAGCUUAAACCUUUACCUGAUACUCUUAAAUAUGCUUAUCUUAAUGAGAAAGAGAUAUAUCCUUUUAUUAUUAGUGCUAACCUUUCAGAGCAUGAAGAAAAUGAAUUAUUGAAAACUCUGAAGAAGCACCAUGCUGCUAUUGGAUAUACUCUUGAUGAUCUUAAGGGCAUUAGUCCCACUCUCUGCCAGCACAAAAUAAAAUUGGAGAAACACACGAAAUCGGUUGUUGAUCACCAACGACGGUUAAAUCCCAAGAUGAAAGAAGUGGUAAGAAAAGAAAUACUUAAGCUUCUGGAGGCAGGUAUAAUUUAUCCCAUUGCUGAUAGUCGGUGUGUAAGUCCUGUCCAUUAUGUCCCUAAGAAGGGAGGUAUUACUGUUGUUCCUAAUGAUAAAGAUGAAUUGAUCCCACAAAGAAUUGUUACAGGUUAUAGAAUGGUAAUUGAUUUCUGCAAACUAAAUAAAGCUACUAAAAAGGAUCAUUACCCUUUACCUUUUAUUGAUCAAAUGCUAGAAAGAUUAUCCAAACAUACACAUUUUUGCUUUCUAGAUAGUUAUUCUGGUUUCUCUCAAAUACCUGUGUCAAAAAAGGAUCAAGAAAAGAAAACUUUUACUUGUCCUUUCGGUACCUUUGCUUAUAGACGUACGACUUUUGGUUUAUGCAAUGCACCUGCUACUUUUCAAAGAUGCAUGACUGCUAUAUUCUCUGACUUUUGUGAAAAGAUUGUUGAGGUUUUCAUGGAUGAUUUCUCCAUUUACGGAACCUCCUUUGAUAGCAACCUUGAUCGAGUUUUGCAGAGAUGUGAAGAAACUAAUGUUGUCUUGAAUUGGGAGAAGUGCCACUUUAUGGUUAAUGAAGGUAUUGUCUUGGGGCAUAAAAUUUCUGAAAGAGGUAUUGAAGUUGAUAAAGCUAAAGCUGAUGCUAUUGAAAAGAUGUCGUGUCGGGCAUUAAAGGUAUAAGAAGCUUCCUUGGUCAUGCCGGUUUUUAUAGGAGGUUCAUUAAGGACUUCUCUAAAAUUUCUCUGCCUGUGACUAAUCUCUUACAAAAAGAUGUUCCUUUUGUCUUUAAUGAUGACUAUGUAGAAGCAUUUCAAAUACUUAAGAAACCUUUGGUUUCUGCACCUAUUGUUCAACCUCCUGAUUGGAAUUUACCAUUUGAAAUUAUGUGUGAUGCUAGUGAUUAUGCUAUAGGGGCUAUUCUAGGACAAAGAGUUGAUAAGAAAUUAAAUCUUAUUCAGUAUGCUAGUAAAACUCUAGACAAUUCCCAGAGAAACUAUGCUACUACUAAAAAGGAAUUUUUAGCAGUUGUAUUUGCUUGUGAUAAGUUCAGACCUUACAUUGUUGAUUCUAAAGUAACUGUGCACACUGAUCAUGCUGCUAUUAAAUAUCUUAUGGAAAAGAAAGAUGCUAAACCUAGGCUUAUUAGAUGGGUUCUCUUACUACAAUAAUUUGAUUUGCAUAUCAUUGAUAGAAAGGGAGCUGAGAACCCCGUUGCAGACAACUUGUCUAGGUUAGAGAAUGUUCUUGAUGACCCACUACCUAUUGAUGAUAGCUUUCCUGAUGAACAAUUAGCUGUCAUAAAUGCUUCUCGUAGUGCUCCAUGGUAUGCUCAUUAUGCUAAUUACAUUGUUGCUAAAUGUAUACCACCUAGUUUCACAUAUCAGCAAAAGAAAAAGUUCUUCUACGAUUUAAGACAUUACUUUUGGGAUGACUCACAUCUUUAUAAAGAAGGAGUAGAUGGUGUUAUUAGACAUUGUGUACCCGAGCAUGAACAGGAACAGAUCCUACACAAGUGUCACUCUGAGGCUUAUGGAGGACAUCAUGCUGGAGACAGAACUGCACAUAAGUAUUGCAAUCCGGUUUUUAUUGGCCUACUCUCUUCAAAGAUGCCCGUAAGUUUGUCUUGUCUUGUGAUGAAUGUCAAAUAAUUGGUAAUAUUAGUAGACAUCAAGAAAUUCCUAUGAAUUAUUCACUUGUUAUUGAACCAUUUGAUGUUUGGGGCUUUGAUUAUAUGGGACCUUUUCCUUCCUCAAAUGGGUACACACAUAUUUUAGUUGCUGUUGAUUACAUUACUAAGUGGGUAGAAGCUAUUCCAACUAGUAGUGCUGAUCAUAACACCUCUAUUAAGAUGCUUAAAGAAGUUAUUUUUCUGAGGUUUGGAGUCCCUAGAUACUUAAUGACUGAUGGUGGUUCACAUUUUAUUCAUGGUGCUUUUCGUAAAAUGCUUGCUAAGUAUGAUGUUAAUCAUAGAAUUGAAUCUCCAUAUCAUCCACAGUCUAGUGGUCAAGUGAAUUAAGUAAUAGAGAACUUAAAUUAAUUUUGCAAAAGAUUGUUAAUAGAUCAGGAAAGAAUUGGUCCAAGAAACUUGAUGAUGCAUUAUGGGCUUAUAGAACUGCAUAUAAAAAUCCUAUGGGUAUGUCUGCGUAUAAAAUGGUUUAUGGGAAAUCAUGUCACUUACCUCUUGAACUAGAACAUACGGCAUAUUGGGCCAUUAAAGAGCUCAAUUAUGAUUUCAAACUUGCCGGUGAGAAGAGGCCUUUUGACAUUAGCUCACUUGAUGAAUGGAGAGCCCAGGCUUAUGCGAAUGCCAAACUGUUUAAAGAAAAGGUUAAAAGAUGGCAUGACAAAAGGAUACAAAAAUCCAAGUUUAAUGUAGGUGACGAUGUAUUGUUAUACAACUCCCGUUUAAGAUUUUUGCAGGCAAACUUUUCUCUAAAUGGGAAGGUCCUUACGUUAUCGAGGAGAUCUACCAUUCUGGUGCCAUAAAAAUCAACAACUUUGAAGGCACAAAUCCGAGGGUGGUGAACGGUCAAAGAAUCAAACAUUAUAUCUCAGGUAAUCCCAUAAAUGUUGAAACUAAUAUUAUUGAAACCGUAACCCCGGAGGAAUACAUAAGGGACACUUUCUGGAAUGUUUCAGACUCCGAAAAGGAAUAGGUAUGUGGUACGGUAAGUAAACCGACUCCAAAACAGUUCUAAUAGAAUUUUUUCUCCGUUUUGGAAUAUUUAAGAAAAUAGGAAAAUAAGAAGUAGUCCGGGAAGGACACAAGGGGUCCACGAGGGUGGAGGGCGCGCCCUACCCCCUAGGCGCGCCCCCUGCCUCAUGGGCACCUCGUGUGCUCUUCGGACUCCGUUUUCUUGCAUGAUACUUAUUUUGGUCGGUAAAAAUUCAUUAUAUAAUCUUCCGAAGGUUUUGACCACUCUAUCACGCAAAUAUAUUAUGUCUUUGUUUCGAGCUGUUUUUCUGACAUAUCUAGAUCGCCAUGGUGUCUUCAAGUGCCCCCAAGGACAAGUUGUUCGAGAAGGUCAUCAACCCCUACCUCGCGGAGGUGCUGCAACACCCUCAAACCAUUGAGAUGCGUGAGGGGUUGCUGCACAUCCGCGAUGUUGAGGGACCAAGGAGGAUCGGAAGCAUGGAGACAAGGCUCGAGGCAUUGGAGCAACAAGUUUUCAAGUGCCAGGAGAUGGUGGAACGUGGACUCGACUCCAAUCAUAUAAUGAUCAUGGAGUUCACCAACAACCACAAUCUGGAUGACAAGAACAUUGGGGAGACCAUCUUCAAGCUUCACGAGAAAAUCGAGCGCCUCCAAGCCCAGAUCUAUGACCUGCAAAACCAAAACUAUGAGUAUGAAUAUAGAUUCAAGAGGAUGAGUUUGGCUGCAGAUUUAAGGAUCCCGGAGACUCGAUCAUCCUUCUAUGAUGGCGAGCCUAUGCCUUGGAAGAUGGACGAGAAGCCUACAUCAUCAACAACUCCAUCACCACCACCUCCUAGGAAGGUAACAUAAACACAUGGGUAUGGGCACUCCCCUUGGCAACUGCCAAGCUUGGGGGAGUGCCCCGGUAUUGUAUCACCAUCACUUUUAUCUUUACCGUUUUUCUUAGUUCGAUCCUUUUGAUAAUAUCUUGAUCUAGUAGAAUAAAGUUUUAGUGUUAUCUAGUUAUUUACUAUGCUGUAACAUCCCCAAAAUUCUAAAUUUUGGAAUGUUAUAAUAAAUAGAUAGAUUUGAUUGUUUAUUUGAUUGUUGUGUGAUUGAUUGACUGAAAGUGAGUGAAUCCGAAGCUUUUUGAAAGUUAAAUGAGAGGGAAUAAAAGGAAUUUCCCAAACUUUCAUCUUUGCUUUCUAAUCUCCGUGAAUUCAAAUAUUUUUCAUCACGAAACCCUGGAGAGAAGAUGACAUGACUUCUUCCAUUUAUUUAAAUGACAAGGGGUGUUGAAAAUAUUUGAAUUUCAUUUGGAAAAUAUUUCCAAUUCUGAAACUUUAUGCAACUCAAUGAUUUUCACGAGAGGAGAUAAAAUGACUUCUUCAAAUUAUAUGAAAUAUGAGUUGGGAGUUUCAAAGAAACUCAAAUUUAAAAUCCAUUUGAAAUUAAUUUUUCAAUUUGGGUUAUUUGAGUUUUAUUCAAAUUAUUUUUUUCUCCAAAAAUAAAAUAUAUGGAAAUUAGGGUAACAUGAUGCCCUACAACAGAAAAUUGGAGAGAAAUAAAUUUGAACUAAUUUUGGUAUUUUUAAAAUGGUUUUUAUUGGAUUUUAUUAGGGCAGUAGCACUCUUUGAAUUAUCUGAAUUUGUGUGUAUUUUAUUUGAUGUUAGGAAAAUGUUCACCGUGUAGAAAAUCUUUUUCUGAAAAUUUUGAUAUAUUACAUGCCUAUAUAAUAUAUUUGUUUUUUUCUGUUUGUUUUUAUUGUCUGUGAAAAAUGUUUAAAAAAGAAAAAAGAUCUUCUCCCCGACUGGGCCGGCCCAGCUCCUGCUAAGCCAAGGCCCAACCCAGCGUGUCGCCCCUCUCCUUCCCCGAGCGGAAGUCCCGCUCGGGCACGCCGUCCGCCGCCGUCGUGGCCGACCCGGCCACCCCCGCGCCGCCUUGCCCCCUCCUCCACGCAACCCUCGCCCCCUCUAUAUAAGCUCCGCCGCCACCGCCUUUUCCUCUCUGCCGCACCGCACCGCCGCCCUUGCGCCGCAUCCCGCCGCCGCUGGCGAGAUCCACCGCCGCUGCCCCGCUCCGUCCCGUCACCAUUGACCACCGUCGACGCCGCCAUCCGCCUCGCCUCGCCGCGCCGCCCCCCGACCCCUUCGCCGCCCUCCUGGACGACCGGAGCCGCCGCCCUGGCCGGACCCGAGCCGCCGCCGCUGUCCUGUCUCGCCGGAGACCGCCGCCGUCAUCGAAACCUUCCGAACCGGUAUAAAACCGCCGGUCCGAUCUGGUUUUUCUUUUAACCUCGGUUUUUUUAAAAACCCUAGACUAGAUUUGUUUUUUUGGUUUUAUUUAAAUAGCGAACAUCCUCUGUUUAGAUCUUAUAAACGAACAUUCGCUUUUUAGUCUUUUCCUUUUUCUGUUAGUUUUAGACAGGGACAUCUUUGUAGAGGUUUUAUUUACAGUUUAGUCCUCAAUAUCAAAACAAUCACUACUUUUUACUCGUUACUCCAAAUCCAACGAAACCAAUGCCCACUUCUUCGUUACGAUCUCCUCUAUCCAGUAAUCCAACCCAAACAUGUUUUUAAAAUUUCAAAUUUUGAAUUAGAUCAGAUUUAGAUUCAAACUUCGUUUGAUCGUAACUUGAGUUCCGUAGCUUCGUUUGAGUUGAUUCUUUCUGCAAAUUAAAGCUCUUGACCUAAACUUUUUGAUAAGGCCAAAUUCACAUAAUUUUGGUACUGUUAGAAAUUGUUUUAUGUUGCAAGAGUUAUUUGCUGGGUUUUGAAGCUUUCCGAAUUGUUUUCUUCUUUCUCUCCGACCUUUUGAGUGAUUGCUUAUGUGUGGUUACUAUUGCUUGCUUACGAUAGAUUGACCGGAGUGUGACGAGUAGAACUAUCAAGAGUUAUGAGUGCGAAUCAUCUUCAUCAACAUUGCAGGCAAGUUCACACUUUGAUCAUACCCCUUUAUCACCCAGUUUUUAUGCAUUAGUUCCAAUCCUCAAACAUUGCAUGGUUAGGAUGUGAUUUUUAACAUGUGGGUUUGGAAGUAGUUGAUGAGGUAGAACCUAUUGCUCUGUUACAUUCAAACCCUUGGGAGUUACUUAUCCGAAUUGCUUAUAUUGCUAUGCUAUGCUCGUAGACGUGGUUUGGGUGAGUGAAAUCCAUGACAGAUGUGAGAUUGUUAAUUAAUGGUUCAACUUAAGGUGACAACUUAAAUACACAUCUGGGUGGAUUGAGGCACCUGGGUAUUCCAGCGAUUGCCUGUUUAGGCACCUGGGCAUUCCAGCGAUUGCCUGUUUUUCAUUAUGGACCGCCACCCAGGCUCAAAGGGAUCAUGAGAUUAUUCAUACUAGAAACUUCCGUGUGCAGCCACAAGCUACUAUGGGCUCUAGCAUAGUGGAUUAAGUCAUGCGAACUUGUACAGUGGUAGACUAGCAGAUGUAGGGGAAAGUAGGUGUAACGGUUUACCCGAUCAUAAGGUGCUAGCGCUUCUGAAAGACUAUGUCUCGGUCAUCCGUUUCUCAAACACCAUGUAGUGCGAGAAUCCCAACGGAGGAGAUCGAGUCUUGUGGGGAAAAGUGCACAAACCUCUGCAGAGUGUAUAAACUAAUCAUGAUUAGCCGUGUCCCUGGUUAUGGACAUCUUGAGUAUCUAGUACUUGGAUUAUCAUGUGAAUCUCAUCACGUUACUUAAAUAAUUUGUUGGGUUGUUAAUGAUUACUUUUAAUUGGGAUUGAGAGGGUGUCUACACUCUCAAUGUUUAACAACCACCAUGAUAGUUAAAUAAAUUAUAUUCCUUUGCAGUAGGGAAAAAUUGGCUUUUCGCAAAAACCUUAUAACCAUAGAGCUUUUCCACCAGCCAUAUAUGCAUGUAGUGAUAGCCAUUGUUCAUCAUUUCUCUAUGGUGUGAAUUUGCCAGUACAUUCAAUGUACUGACCCUCUGUGGCUGCAACGUCUCAUGUUGCAGGAUUUCUUACGACGAGUAAGUGAUACGUUAGGGUUACGAUUUCUACACUCAACUUUGCCGUUGGUGUUGAUGGCAAUCCACAACCUUGUUACUUCCGCUAUUUGGAUUGAGUUAAUAGUAUUUGCAUUACUUUUACAUGUGAUUUACCUCUGUUAUAAAUCCUCGAGUACUGUAUGUGUCAGCAUACCGAUCCAGGGAUGACACUUAAGCACAGAGACUUGAUCCAUUCGGGUCAGGUCGCUACAAGAUGGUAUCAGAGGACAUGUUGACUGUAGGACGUGACCCUAGAAACUGGCAAGCCCAUAGGAAAGAUUUUUCUCUAAAACUUUACUUUUCAAAAAGAUCUUUUACCUCUCUUCUCUUCUGAGCUUACUCAAAUAUCCCCUUUUAGUGAGACCAUACCCCCUUUUCCCUUUUGACCACACGAAGAUUCGACUGAUGAGACCACUUCAAGAAGUAUAAGAUAUCGGACAACUAAGACCACUUCGGAAUGAAGAGUAUUUUUCGUGCAUUUGAAUAAUGGAAACUACAACAGUUGAAGACUCAGAAGACUAGGAGAAUUUGAAGGCUCUGUAGAAUUUCCAGAUUUGUAUGACCUAGGAAAGCUACCCUUAUGGAACUUGACAGACUAUUGAAGUUGUCAAUACCCGAGAUCAAGGUGUAUCGGAGAAAGACCGUAACAUGGAGCAUGAGAACUCGAAGUUUUGAAAACCCUAAGGCAGGAGAUAUCAACUAUGGAAUGAUAGCUCAUGGAAAUGACAAGAACAGAAACACGACUAUCCAUGAGGUUAUCGCCCGCUUAUGCUAUUAUCACAGUGCUGAGUUGAGGAUGCAUUUCUUCAGAAUGGAUUUGAUGGAAGAAGGCUGAUGGAGCACCUAUCAGUAAGAUGAAGUUUUAACCUUAGCCGGUGUAUCACCAGGAUCUGGAGUAGUACAUCAAGAAGUUUAAGGUGGAGCUCCAUGAAGCCAUAUUAAUCAAGGAAGCAUUUCAUGAAGGACUCAGGAAUCAGAAACUGAAAGUAGCCAACCUGGAGGGCAAAACCUCGAGAUACCGGAGAUUUGUCAGGAACUGAAGGACAAUAUGACCAUGUCUCAUGCCAAGGAUGUUGAAACCCAGAAGUUUGAACGCAACUCCAGAAUAUUCAAGGAUGUCACGAGAGACUUUGCUACAACAAGAGAUGAGCUGGCAAAAGAACUUGAGAAGGACAAGCACGAUUGGAAGAAGCCAUCGAAGACAGGAACAAGACUUGAAGAGUUUGGCGACAUUGACCUUUAGAAGACCAAACCCCUGUUAUAUACCUACGUUAGAUACAACGAUUGUGAGCUGUCAUUUGUUUGAUGUUUUCCGACAGCCACAAUAAAAUCUGCCUUGUCAAAACUUUUGUUUGCAUUGUGUGUAUCCCUCUCUAUCUCUCUUAUCUCACCCCAAACCCUUGGACCCAAUAGAGGAUGAAUGGAGAUGAGCUUGUACUUUCUGGACCGAUAAGUCAGUUGGAGACAGACCGAUGGAUUCAGAACAUGGACGAUCACAUGGAGAAUAACCCUAUAGUUGGACAUGAUAUGACCCAGCAUGCUCUUCAGUGCUUUGAGAGAGGUGCUGCUACUUGGUGGAGGAUGUACCAAACUAUCAAUGGAUGGCAAGGAGUAACCACUUGGAAAGAAUUUAAAUUGACUUUACCAAAGUCUCGGUUUGUGUCCCAGAAGUUGAAGCCUUAUGGAAAGGAUAUGAAGAAACCUUGUGCAUGCAAGAUUUGUGGAGAAAUAGGACACAACCAUAAAGAACACAAGGAUGAAUGCCCUAAUUGUGAAGGAAGUCACCCAGUUGAAGAAUGCCCAACUAGGCAUAUUACUUGUUUCUUGUGUGAAGGGACUACCCACUAUCCUGCUCAAUGUCACAUUUACCCCAUGGUACAACGAACCAUCCAGCAGAAGAAAGAAGUAAUGAAAGGAGCCCUCAUGGAAACUUUAGAAGAAACUGUGAUGAAGGAAGAGGUGGAGGACACACCUAAAGAAGACCCGAGUAAACCCUGCACUAAGUCUUGCUAUUCAUGUGGAGAAGAAGGACACAUCUCCCAAAAUUGUUUGAAUGGGGAUCUAGUAGAAUUCCCGACAGAGGAAGUAGAAUAUGACCCACAGGAAAUAGAAGCCCUGAUUGGAAUGAAAAAGUCCAGGAAGAGAAACCGAUUGGAGCCCAGGAGGGACCUGAGUCAUAUCACCUGUUACAGGUGCAAGGAGUCAGGGCACUACCUCAACAGUUGCCCAAAAAGGAAACCUCGAUACUUGUCAGAAGUAUUAUGUUUUAGUUGUAAUGGAGCAGGGUACUUUGCCAAAGAAUGCCCCAAGGAGAAGGAAACUUGUGCUAGAUAGUUGAGUUUGCAACAAAAGAAAUGGAGUAGUAGAAGUGAGAACAUUUUCUUUUAUAUUGAGGUGUUGAGUUGAGACAGGUAAUGGAAAAGCGAGAGACUGUAAUCAUUUGAGAAUGAAUAAAGUUAGCAUCGUUGGUACUGAUAUGGAUUUUAUGAGUUGUUACUCUAUGAAGAAGAAUUUUGGCCAUUUUGAGGAUAUGAGAAAUAUGGUCUAUGGAAGAUUUGUGCAUUUUAGGGGUGGUAGUACCCUGUAAGAACCGUUGACACCUGGAAAAGAUAAGGAUACUCCACUGAGUGGAUUUCGGACAAAAUGAAUACGAGUUUUAUCUCGAUAUGUGUGAUACCCCAAGAGUGUGUGGGAUGAAGUUGGGGACCAUCAGUUGUUUGGACCAAAUGUGAUCAAGGAGUCAGAAGCGAAUGUUAAGUUGAUUCAAGAUAGACUGAAGGUAGCUCAGUCCAGGCAGAAGAGUUAUGUAGACUCAAAAACUCAAGGAGGUAGUCUAUGAAAUUGGAGACAGAGCAUGUCUUCAUGUGUCCCCUUUGCGAGGAAUUAAAUGAUUUGGAGUUAAGGGAAAGUUAGCACCAAGAUUUGUAGGACCAUACCGAGUUUUGGAGCGUAUGGGAGAAGUGGCCAACAAGUUGGAGUUACCCGAAGGACCGUCAGGAGUUCAUGAUGUGUUUCACGUUUCCCAGUUAAAGAAGUGCCAUGCAAGGAUGGCCAAUAUUCCUCUGUAAGGACGCUUGACCCUGGAAAGGAUAAUGAUGUUCCAUAAAGUGGAGUAUGGACUUCAUAAGUAUAAGUUUUUAACUCGCUAUGUGGGAUAUCCCACGAGGAUGAAGAGAUGAAUUAAUAUUGGAUAUAAAGGAGGUAUGAUGUUGGAAAUAAGGAUCAAGGGAAAUUCCAUGAUGAGUCUGAGUAAUCAUGUCCUAGUUUGGUGCCAAUAGAAGGAAGGAAGACAGUACAAUUGGAUGGAAUUUAAGUAUGCUAGGAGGCUGGAAGCUGGAUGUUGGAAUAAUGACUAGUUGCCCCGAGGAUGAGUUCAAGGAUUUCAAGUGAUGAGAUGGGCCAUACCCCACAGGCCCCAGGAUCUGCCAAGAGGCAAACACCCUCUUGCUGAAUGAAAAACCCUGGAAGGAGUUGCGACUUUAUCAACCGAUGAUUUAUAGGAGUUUACGCAAAACCUUAGAGUUGUGAAGGAACGAUAGAUGUUUUGUUUGGCUUGCAUAAUCGAUGGAUUUAUCCGAACUUGGUUCGUCGACAAGAGGAAUUCUGUAGUGCUUGUGAGGAUGACCGAGUGUUAGAAUGCGAGAUUCUCUAAAUGAUGACCCACAAGUAUAGGGGAUCUAUCGUAGUCCUUUCAAUAAGUAAGAGUGUCGAACCCAACGAGGAGCAGAAGGAAAUGAUAAGUGGUUUUCAGCAAGGUAUUCUCUGCAAGUACUGAAAUAAGUGGUAACAGAUAGUUUUGUGAUAAGAUAGGUUGUAACGAGCAACAAGUAACAAAAGUAAAUAAAGUGCAGCAAGGUGGCCCAAUCCUUUUGUAGCAAAGGACAAGCCGGAACAAACUCUUAUAAUAGGAAAAGUGCUCCCGAGGACACAUGGGAAUAUCGUCAAGCUAGUUUUCAUCACGUUCAUAUGAUUCGCAUUCGAUACUUUGAUAAUUUGAUAUGUGGGUGGACAGGCGCUUGGGUGCUGUUCUUACUUGAACAAGCAUCCCACUUAUGAUUAACCUCUAUUGCAAGCAUCCGCAACUACAACAAAAGUAUUAAGGUAAACCUAACCAUAGCAUGAAACAUGUGGAUCCAAAUCAGCCCCUUACGAAGCAACGCAUAAACUAGGGUUUAAGCUUCUGUCUCUCUAGCAACCCAUCAUCUACUUAUUACUUCCCAAUGCCUUCCCCUAGGCCCAAAUAAUGGUGAAGUGUUAUGUAGUCGACAUUCACAUAACACCACUAGAGGCUAGACAACAUACAUCUUAUAAAAUAUCAAACAAAUAUCAAAUUCACAUGACUACUCAUAGCAAGACUUCUCCCUUGUCCUCAGGAAUGAACAUAAUUACUCACAAAGCAUAUUCAUGUUCAUAAUCAGAGGGGUAAUAAUAUGCAUAUAGGAUCUGAACAUAUGAUCUUCCACCAAUUAAACCAACUAGCAUCAACUACAAGGAGUAAUCAACACUACUAGCAACCUACUAGCACCAAUCCCGGACUUUGAGACAAGAAUUGGAUACAAGAGAUGAACUAGGGUUUGUAGAUGAGAUGGUGCUGGUGAAGAUGUUGAUGGAGAUUGCCCUCUCCCGAUGAGAGGAGCGUUGGUGAUGACGAUGGUGAUGAUUUCCCCCUCCCGGAGGGAAGUAUCCCUGGUAGAAUAGCUAUGUCGGAGCUCUAGAUUGGAUCCGCCAAGGUUCCGCCUCGUGGCGGCGGAGUCUCGUCACGAAAAGUUCCUUCCUAUUUUUUUCUCAUCGAAAGACUUCAUAUAGGAGAAGAUUGGCGUCGGAGAGCCACCAGGGGGCCCACGAGGUAGGGGGGCGCGCCCUAGGGGGUGGCGCCCCCCACCCUCGUGAGCAGGGUGUGGGCCCCCUGGCCUUCAUCUUUGGCGAGGAUUUUUCUUUAUUUAUUUUAAGACAUUCCAUGGAGUUUCAGGACUUUUGGAGUUGCGCAGAAUAGGUCUCUAAUAUUUGCUACUUUUCCAGCCCAGAAUUCCAACUGCCGGCAUUCUCCCUCCUUAUGUAAACCUUGUAAAAUAAGAGAGAAUAGCCAUAAGUAUUUUGACAUAAAGUGAAAUAACAGUCCAUAAUGCGAUAAAUAUCGAUAUAAAAUCAUGAUGCAGAAUGGACGUAUCAACUCCCCCAAGCUUAUACCUCGCUUGUCCUCAAGCGAAAAGCCGAUAACAAUAAAUAUGUCCUCAUGUUUAGAGGUAGAGGCGUCGAUAAAAAAUAAAAUAUGGACAUGAAGGCAUCAUGAUUAUUCUCAUAGCAGCAACAUAUAUAUCUUUUGUCAUAUGAUUACUUAUAUUCAAGUGAUGAUCUAUUCAUAAUGCAAAAGUAUAAAUCAUAAACCUUAUUGGGCUCUGACAAACUAUAAUCUCAGUCAUUGAAGCAAUUGCAAUUUAUCAUAACAUCAGAAAGAGUCUAUGUUAGAGCUAAAAAGCAAGUCCACAUACUCAACUAUCAUUUAGUCCUCCAUAAUUGCUAACACUCACGCGAUACUUGUGGUUACAGAGUUUUAAUCGGACACAGAGAAAGAUAGGGGCUUAUAGUUUUGCCCCACAACCUUUUACCUCAAGGGUAAUGUCAACAAUAAUGGUUCAUGCUCCCCUACAUCCAAUUAGAUAUAUAUAUCAUGUUCUUUCCAACAUGCUGAGCUUGCCAAAGGAUAAAAUGAAAAAGAAAAGGUGAAGAUCACCAUGACUCUUGCAUAAGGUAGAGGAUAAUAAUAAAGGAUAGGCCCUUCGCAGAGGGAAGCAGAAGUUGCCAUGCACUUUUAUGGUUGGGUGCAUAAAAUCUCAAUGCGAAAGAACGUCACUUUAUAUUGCCCCUUGUGAUAUGAACCUUUAUUAUGCAGUCCGUUGCUUUUAUUACUUCCACAUCACAAGAUCAUAUAAAGCUUAUUUCUCCCACACCAAUCAAUCAUACAUAUUUAGAGCAUUUUUUAUUGCUUUGCACCGAUGACAACUUACUUGAAGGAUCUUACUCAAUCCAUAGGUAGAUAUGGUGGACUCUCAUGGCAAAACUGGUUUAAGGGUAUUUGGAAGCACAAGUAGUAUUUCUACUUGGUGCUGAGAAUUUGGCUAGCAUGAGGGGGAAAGGCAAGCUCAACAAGUUAGAGGAUCCAUGACAACAUACUUUAUCUCAGAUAUAAGAAAGACAUGACUCAUUAUGUUGUCUUCCUUGUCCAACAUCAACUCUUUGGCAUGUCAUAUUUUAAUGAGUGCUCCCAAUCAUAAAAGAUGUCAAUGAUAAUAUAUCUAUAUGUGACCUAUUAAUUGCAACCAUUGUUGAGGAAAUCGUUAACUGGUAGCUGCUCGGUGGGCUGGUGAGUAGGGGAUUAAUAGGCUAAUCGGCAAGUUAAUCGGCCAUUUAAUCAAUUAAUCAGAUGAUUUAUCGGGUAAUCGGCUACUUGGGGACCCUAUGAGUAGGGAUUAAUCGGCAAGUUAAUUGGUUAAUCGGAUGAAUUCUUGAACAGGGAUUGCAACAAUGACCAAAGCUAUGUCUGCCAACUCCCAACAACUUUUAAUCAUCAUACUCUUUCUAUGUGAAGUCAUUACUCUCAAUAAGAUCAAUAUGAACUUUUUGUUUUUUUAUUCUUUUUCUAUUUUCUUUUAUUCACCCAAGAUAAUGGCAAAAUUAUCAAGCCCUGGACUCAACACUAAUCUUUAUUAUAUAUAACUCACGGACUUGAUUACAUAGAGGGAUCAUAAAGCAAAACUCAAAACUAGAUCAUGCCAUAAACUUUAUUCUACUAGAUCAAGAUACUAUUAAUAGGAUCGAACUAAGAAAAACGGUAAAGAUAGGAGUUGUGAUUGUGAUACGAUACCGGGGCACCUCCCCCAAGCUUGGCAGUUGCCAAGGGGAGUGCCCAUACCCAUGUGAUUAUGUCUCCUUCUUUGUUGUCGGUGUAAUAUUCUUGGCGAUGAUUCCCCUCCAGGAUGCGGUUCUCCUCCUCGAGCUUAUGGACUUGCUGUUUGAGGUCCAUUAUUUCCUUACGAAGCUUUCCUGUGACAGCUAAAGCUCCUUGCACCCAAGGGUGUUGCAUAGCUGCGGGAGAACAAGUGACACUCCUCUUCAUAUUUUCAUAAGAAAGAAAUCUAACAUUAGAAGGGAUUACCGAGUUUGGAAUAGCUGAGCUCUGUAGUUCCCCCAUCGUGAACCCAACUCGGAGGCGAGAGGUGACUUCUUGAUCCUCCAUGGCAUCUACUCUCAUUAAGUCAGCCUCCAUCUCUUCCUCCGUUGCUGACCCAAAGUGGUCAGCGUCGCUGUUUGCCCUUGGUUCCGGUGCCGGAUUGGAUACCCGGCUCUCCCCGAUUGACUCUUGAGAAGACAUCUUGUUCUAAUCUGCAGCAGCAACAACUCGAAAACUAAAACAGAGGAAAUUUGCGUGAUACAAAUCAAAAUCUUCGAGAGAAUAUAUAUAAUGAAUUUUUACCGACCAAAAUACGUAACGUGCAAGAAAACGGAGUCCGGAAGGCACACGAGGUGCUCACGAGGUAGGGGGCGCGCCCAGGGGGUAGGGCGCGCCCACCACCCUCGUGGGGCCCUCGUGUCCUUCCCGGACUGCUACUUAUUUUUCUAUUUUUCUAAAUAUUCCAAAACGGAGAAAUAUUGCCUAAAAAUUGUUUUGGAGUCGGUUUACUUACCGUACCACAUGCGUAUUCCUUUUCGGAGUCUGAAACGCUCCGGAAAGUGUCUCUUAUGUAUUCCUCCGGGGUUACGGUUUCAAUAAUAUUGGUUUCAAAAUUUAUGGGAUUACCUGAGAUAUAAUGUUUGAUUCUUUGACUGUUUACCACUUUCGGAUUUGUGCCCUCGAAGUUGUUGAUCUUUAUGGCACCGGAACGAUAGACCUCCUCGAUAACAUAGGGGCCUUCCCAUUUAGAGAGAAGUUUUCCUGCAAAAAAUCUUAAACGAGAAUUGUAUAACAAUACAUAGUCACCUACAUUAAACUCACGCUUUUGUAUCCUUUUGUCAUGCCAUCUUUUAACUUUUUCUUUAAACAACUUGGCAUUUUCAUAAGCUUGGGUUCUCCAUUCAUCAAGUGAACUAAUAUCAAAUAACCUCUUUUCACCGGCAAGUUUAAAAUCAUUGUUGAGCUCUUUAAUAGCCCAAUAUGCCUUAUGUUCUAGUUCGAGAGGUAAGUGACAUGCUUUUCCAUAAACCAUUUCAUAUGGAGACAUACCCAUAGGAAUUUUGUAUGCAGUUCUAUAAGCCCACAAUGCAUCAUCAAGUUUUUUGGACCAAUUCUUUCUAGUCCUAUUAACAGUCUUUUGCAAAAUUAAUUUGAGCUCUCUAUUGCUCAACUCUACUUGACCACUAGACUAUGGGUGAUAAGGAGAUGCAAUUCUAUGAUUAACAUCAUAUUUAGCAAGCAUUUUACGGAAAGCACCAUGAAUAAAGUGUGAACCACCAUCAGUCAUUAAAUAUCUAGGGACUCCAAACCUCGGAAAAACAACUUCUUUAAGCAUUUUAAUAGAAGUGUUAUGAUCAACACUACUAGUUGGAAUAGCUUCUACCCACUUAGUAAUGUAAUCAACAGCAACUAGAAUAUGUGUGUAUCCAUUAGAGGCAGGAAAAGGUCCCAUAUAAUCAAAGCCCCAAACAUUAAACGGUUCAAUAACAAGAGAAUAAUUCGUAGGCAUUUUUUGACGUCUACUAAUAUUACCAAUUCUUUGACAUUCAUCACAAGACAAGACAAACUUAUGGGCAUCCUUGAAGAGAGUAGGCCAAUAGAAACCAGAUUGCAAUACCUUAUGUGCAGUUCUAUCUCCAGCGUGGUGUCCUCCAUAAGCCUCAGAGUGACACUUGCGUAGGAUCUGUUCCUGUUCAUGCUCAGGUACACAACGUCUAAUAACACCAUCUACUCCUUCUUUAUAAAGAUGUGGGUCAUCCCAAAAGUAAUGUCUCAAAUCAUAGAAGAAUUUUUUCUUUUGUUGGUAUAUUAAGCUAGGUGGUACAAAUUUAGCAACAAUAUAAUUAUUAUAAUCAGCAUACCAUGGAGUACUACGAGAAGUACUUAUAACAUUUAAUUGUUCAUCAGGAAAGCUACCAUUAAUAGGUAGUGGGUCAUCAAGAAUAUUUUCUAACCUAGACAAGUUGUCUGCAACGGGGUUCUCAUCUCCCUUUCUAUCAACAAUAUGCAAAUCAAAUUCUUGCAGCAAGAGAACCCAUCUAAUAAGUCUAGGUUUAGCAUCUUUCUUUUCCAUAAGAUAUUUAAUAGCAGCAUGAUCAGUUUGAAUAGUUACUUUAGAAUCAACAAUAUAAGAUCUGAACUUAUCACAAGCAAAUACAACUGCUAAAAGCUCUUUUUUGGUAGUAGCAUAAUUUCUUUGAGUAUUGUCUAGAGUCUUACUAGCAUAAUGAAUAACAUUUAAUUUCUUAUCAACUCUUUGCCCUAGAACAGCACCUACAACAUAAUCACUAGCAUCACACAUAAUUUCUAAGGGUAGGUUCCAAUCAGGUGGCUGAACAACAGGUGCAGUGACUAAUGCUUUCUUAAGUAUUUCAAUUGCUUCUACACAAUCAUCAUCAAAGACAAAUGGUAUAUCUUUUUGCAAUAAAUUAGUCAGAGGCCAAUAAAUUUUAGAGAAGUCCUUAAUGAACCUCCUAUAAAAUCCGGCGUGACCAAGGAAACUUAUUAUACCUUUGAUGUCCUUGGGACAUGGCAACUUUUCAAUAGCAUCAACCUUGGCUUUAUCAACUUCAAUACCUCUUUCAGAAACUUUGUGCCCCAAGACAAUACCUUCAUUAACCAUAAAGUGGCACUUUUCCCAAUUCAAGACAAGAUUAGUUUCUUCACAUCUCUACAAAACUCGAUCAAGAUUGCUCAAGCAAUCAUCAAAAGAGGAACCAUAGACGGAAAAGUCGUCCAUGCAAACCUCACAAAUCUUUUCACAAAAGUCAGAGAAUAUAGCCAUCAUGCAUCUUUGAAAGGUAGCAGGUGCAUUACAUAAACCAAAAGGCAUACGUCUAUAAGCAAAAGUACCAAAAGGGCAUGUAAAAGUAGUCUUUGAUUGAUCUCUAGCCGACACAGGUAUUUGAGAGAAACCGGAAUAACCAUCUAGAAAGCAAUAGUGUGUAUGUUUGCAUAAUCUUUCUAGCAUUUGAUCAAUAAAAGGUAAGGGGUAAUGAUCUUUCUUAGUAGCUUUAUUUAAUUUGCGGAAAUCAAUUACCAUCCUAUAACCUAUGAUAAUUCUUUGUGGAAUCAAUUCAUCUUUAUCAUUAGGAACAACAGUAAUACCUCCCUUCUUAGGGACACAAUGGACAGGACUUACCCACUCACUAUCAGCAACGGGAUAGAUUAUACCUGCCUCUAGAAGCUUUAGUAUUUCUUUUCUUACCACUUCUUUCAUUUUAGGAUUCAAACAUCGUUGAGGAUCACGAACUGGUUUGGCAUCUGCUUCCAAAUUUAUUUUAUGUUGACAUAGAGUGGGACUAAUGCCCUUAAGAUCAUCAAGAGUAUAUCCAAUAGCAGCACGAUGCUUCUUCAGAGUUUUCAAUAAUCUUUCUUCUUCAUGCUCUGAAAGGUUAGCACUAAUAAUAUCAGGAUAUAUCUUAUUUUCAUCAAGAUAAGCAUAUUUAAGAUUACCAGGCAAAGGUUUAAGCUCAAACACAGGAUCCCCCUCGGGUGGAGGAGGAUCCCCUAAAAUUUCAACAUGCAAAUUGUGUUGCAGAAUAGGUUCCUGUUUAAAGAAUACUUCAUCUAUUUCCCUUCUUUCUUUCAUGAACAUAUCAUUUUCAUGGUCUAGCAAAUAGUGUUCUAAAGGAUCACUAGGAGGUACAAUAGAUUCAAGACCAAUAAUUUCAUCCUUACUAGGUAAUUCUUCCUCAUGAUGUUGUUUACUAAAUUUAGAGAAAUUAAUCUCAUGAACCAUAUCAUCCAAUCCAAUAGUAAUAACAUUCUUUGUGCAGUCUAUGGUAGCAUUGACAGUAUUUAAGAAGGGUCUACCAAAUAUAAUGAGACAAAAGCUAUCUUGCGGGGAACCAAGAACAAGAAAAUCAGCAGGAUAUUUAGUCUUCCCACACAAGACUUCAACAUCUCUAACAAUUCCAAUUGGUGAAAUAGUAUCUCUAUUGACAAGUUUAAUAGUAACAUCAAUAUCUUCUAACUCCACAGGUGCAAUUUCAUUCUUAAUUUCUUCGUAUAAGUCAAUAGGUAUUACACUAGCACUAGCACCCAUAUCACAUAAGCCAUGAUAACAAUGAUCUCCUAUUUUAACAGAAAUAAUAGGCACGCCUACCACAAGUCUAUGUUUAUCUUUAUCACAAGGUUUAGCAAUUCUAGCAGUUUCACCUUCGAACUGAAUAACAUGCCCAUCAAUAUUAUCAGACAAGAGAUCUUUAACAAUAGCAAUAUUAGGUUCUACUUUAACUUUCUCAGGAGGUGUAUAAGUUCUAAUAUUGCUUUUACGAACGACUGUUGAAGCUUUAGCAUGAUCCUUUAUUCUAAUAGGGAAAGGUGGUUUCUCAACAUAAGAAGUAGGAACAAUAGGAUCAUUAUAAGUGACGGCCUUUUCUUCAACUUUAAUAGGUGCAGCUACUUUUACUUCUACGGGAGGAUGAUAUUUAAACCACUUCUCCUUAGGGAGAUCAACAUAAGUAGCAAAAGAUUCACAGAAAGAAGCUACUAUCUCAGAGUCAAGUCCAUAUUUAGUGCUAAACUUACGGAAAAUAUCGGUGUCCAUAAAAGAUUUAACACAAUCAAACUUAGGUGUCAUACCUGACUCCUUACCUUCGUCGACGUCCCAAUCUUCAGAGUUGCGUUUAAUUCUAUCCAAUAAAUUCCAUCUGAAUUCAAUAGUCUUCAUCAUAAAAGAGCCAACACAAGAAGUAUCGAGCAUGGUGCGAUUGUUAUCAAAAAGCCAAGCAUAUAAAUUUUAAAUAAUCAUUUCUCUUGAGAGCUCAUUAUUGGGGCAUGAAUAUAACAUUGAUUUAAGCCUCCCCCAAGCUUGAGCGAUGUUUUCUCCUUCGCAAGGCCAGAAAUUAUAUAUAUAAUUGCGAUCAUGAUGAACAAGAUGCAUAGGGUAAUACUUUUGAUGAAAUUCCAACUUCAAUCUUUUAUAGUCCCAGAAUCUCAUAUCAUCACAUAGUCUAUACCAUAUCAAUGCGUCUCCCUUGAAAGAUAAAGGGAAGACCUUCUUCUUAGCAACAUCAUCGGGUAUACCUGCAAGCUUAAAUAAUCCACAAACUUCAUCCACAUAUAUUAAGUGCUCAUGAGGAUGCUUUGUUCCAUCUCCUGUAAAAGGGUUAGCUAGCAGUUUUUCCAUCAUACCCGAAGGAAAUUCAAAAGGAGUUUCAUUUUCAAUAGGUUCAGUAGGUUGAGGAGCAACGCUUUGCUCUACUGGACGGGGUGAAGAUACCCCGAACAAGCCCCUCAGAGAAUUACUUUCCAUAGUAACAAGUGAUAGUAAAUUUCAGCACACUAUAUAAAUUUUUCCUUACCAAAUUCCACCUACCAAAGGCGCUACACUCCCCGGCAACAGCGCCAGAAAAGAGUCUUGGUGACCCACAAGUAUAGGGGAUCUAUCAUAGUCCUUUCGAUAAGUAAGAGUGUCGAACCCAAUGAGGAGCAGAAGAAAAUGAUAAGCGGUUUUCAGCAAGGUAUUCUCUGCAAGUACUGAAAUAAGUGGUAACAGAUAGUUUUGUGAUAAGAUAGGUUGUAACGAGCAACAAGUAACAAAAGUAAAUAAAGUGCAGCAAGGUGGCCCAAUCCUUUUGUAGCAAAGGACAAGCCGGAACAAACUCUUAUAAUAGGAAAAGCGCUCCCGAGGACACAUGGGAAUAUCGUCAAGCUAGUUUUCAUCACGUUCAUAUGAUUCGUGUUUGAUACUUUGAUAAUUUGAUAUGUGGGUGGACCGGCGCUUGGGUGCUAUUCUUACUUGAACAAGCAUCCCGCUUAUGAUUAACCUCUAUUGCAAGCAUCACAACUACAACAAAAGUAUUAAGGUAAACCUAACCAUAGCAUGAAACAUGUGGAUCCAAAUCAGCCCCUUACGAAGCAACACAUAAACUAGGGUUUAAGCUUCUGUCACUCUAGCAACCCAUCAUCUACUUAUUACUUCCCAAUGCCUUCCUCUAGGCCCAAAUAAUGGUGAAGUGUUAUGUAGUGGACGUUCACAUAACACCACUAGAGGCUAGACAACAUACAUCUUAUCAAAAUGUCAAACGAAUACCAAAUUCACAUGACUACUCAUAGCAAGACUUCUCCCAUGUCCUCAAGAUCGAACGUAAUUACUCACAAAGCAUAUUCAUGUUCAUAAUUAGAGGGGUAAUAAUAUGCAUAUAGGAUCUGAACAUAUGAUCUUCCACCAAUUAAACCAACUAGCAUCAACUACAAGGAGUAAUCAACACUACUAGCAACCUACCAGCACCAAUCCCGGACUUUGAGACAAGAAUUGGAUGCAAGAGAUGAACUAGGGUUUGGAGAUGAGAUGGUGCUGGUGAAGAUGUUGAUGGAGAUUGCCCUCUCCCGAUGAGAGGAGCGUUGGUGAUGACGAUGGUGAUGAUUUCCCUCUCCCGAAGGGAAGUAUCCCCGGCAGAACAGCUCUGCCGGAGCUCUAGAUUGGAUCCGCCAAGGUUCCGCCUCGUGGCGGCAGAGUCUCGUCCCGAAAAGUUCCUUCCUAUUUUUUUCUCAUUGAAAGACUUCAUAUAGGAGAAGAUGCGAGUCGGAGAGCCACCAGGGGGCCCACAAGGUAGGGGGCGCGCCCUAGGGGGGGCGCCCCCACCCUCGUGAGCAGGGUGUGGGCCCCCUGGCCUUCAUCUUUGGCGAGGAUUUUUCUUUAUUUAUUUUAAGACGUUCCGUGGAGUUUCAGGACUUUUGGAGUUGUGCAGAAUAGGUCUCUAAUAUUUGCUCCUUUUCCAGCCUAGAAUUCCAGCUGCCAGCAUUCUCCCUCCUUAUGUAAACCUUGUAAAAUAAGAGAGAAUAGCCAUAAGUAUUGUGACAUAAAGUGAAAUAAUAGUCCAUAAUGCGAUAAAUAUCGAAAUAAAAGCAUGAUGCAGAAUGGACGUAUCACUAAACCGUAUACAAGUUCAUGAUUUGGGUGCGGGAUGGAUUGAUCACCAUACCGACUUACUCUUAUUAUUCGCCUUGCUAUAUGGGAUGGUAAAUCUGAGUGACUUGCCUAUAGUAGAGAGACGACGAUAUUAAACCUUGUUUAAACCUUAGAAGGGUGUAGCAAAUUUUCCCUUGUACAAGGCAGUUUUGCCAAUCGUAGGUUAUACGAUAAGGAUCAACCCAGACCCAUUUCCUGUAGGAGAAACCAUAAAUUGUUGACCACCAUGAGAUAUCGAUAGUUGUUUAGUAUUGGCGUCAGACCCGUCAGCUAAGAAGACCCAGUCUCAGAAUAACCUUACCAGGAUGAAAAGGACAGAAGUGUUGAGGAAAAGGUUAUGCCACUACCGGAAGAGCCCAUAGAAGGAAUUUUCCCGAGAAUCUGAGAAGACCGGCCCUGUCAAGAAUAAGGAUGGAGUAUAUAAGCAUGGAUGGGGCCAUAACGAUGUUUCUAAGGGUGGUAGCACCCGAGACCCGGAGAGAUCAAUGGAAGACCCCAAACCCAACCUAAUUCUUUCUAGCCUCUCCGAAUCUCGAGGACGAGAUUCAUUUUAAGGGUGGUAGGUUUGUAACAUCCCCAGAAUUCUAAAUUUUGGAAUGUUAUAAUAAAUGGAUAGAUUUGAUUGCUUAUUUGAUUGUUGUGUGAUUGAUUGACUGAAAGUGAGUGAAUCCGAAGCUUUUUUAAAGUUAAAUGAGAGGGAAUAAAAGGACUUUCCCAAACUUUCAUCUUUGCUUUCUAAUCUCCGUGAAUUCAAAUACUUUUCAUCACGAAACCCUGGAGAGAAGAUGACAUGACUUCUUCCAUUUAUUUAAAUGACAAGGGGUGUUGAAAAUAUUUGAAUUUCAUUUGGAAAAUAUUUCCAAUUCUGAAACUUUAUGCAACUCAAUGAUUUUCACGAGAGGAGAUAAAAUGACUUCUUCAAAUUAUAUGAAAUAUGAGUUGGGAGUUUCAAAGAAACUCAAAUUUAAAAUCCAUUUGAAAUUAAUUUUUCAAUUUGGGUUAUUUGAGUUUUAUUCAAAUUAUUUUUUCUCCAACAAUAAAAUAUAUGGAAAUUAGGGUAACAUGAUUCCCUACAACAGAAAAUUGGGAAGAAAUAAAUUUGAAUUAAUUUUGGUAUUUUUAAAAUGGUUUUUAUUGGAUUUUAUUAGGGCAGUAGCACUCUUUGAAUUAUCUGAAUUUGUGUGUAUUUUAUUUGAUGUUAGGAAAAUGUUCACCGUGUAGAAAAUCUUUUUCUGAAAAUUUUGAUAUAUUACGUGCCUAUAUAAUAUAUUUGUUUUUUUCUGUUUGUUAUUAUUGUCUGUGAAAAAUGUUUUAAAAAAACUCUUCGCCCCAACUGGGCCGGCCCAGCUCCUGCCAGGCCAAGGCCCAGCCCAGUGCGUCGCCCCUCUCCUUCCCCGAGCGGAAGUCCCGCUCGGGCACGCCGUCCGCCGCAGCCGUGGCCGACCCGGCCACCCCCGCGUCGCCUUGCCCCCUCCUCCACGCAACCCUCGCCCCCCUCUAUAUAAGCUCCGCCGCCGCCGCCUUUUCCUCUCAGUCGCACCGCACCGCCACCCUUGUGCCGCAUCCGGCCGCCACCGGCGAGAUCCACCACCGCCGCCCCGCUCCGUCCCGUCACCGUUGACCACCGCCGACGCCGCCAUCCGCCUCGCCUUGCCGCGCCGCCCCUCCCCGACCCCUUCGCCGCCCUCCUGGACGACCGGAGCUGCCGCCCCGGCCGGACCCGAGGCGCCGCCGCCGUCUUGUCUCACCGGAGACCGCCGCCGUCGUCGAAACCUUCCGAACCGGUAUAAACCGCCGGUCCGAUCCGAUUUUUCUUUUAACCUCGUAUUUUUAAAAAAACCUAGACUAGAUUUGUUUUUUGGUUUUAUUUAAACAGCGAACGUCCCCUGUUUAGAUCUUAUAAACGAACGUUCGCUUUUUAGUCUUUUCCUUUUUCUGUUAGUUUUAGACAGGGACUUCUUUGUAGAUGUUUUAUUUAUAGUUUAGUCCCUGAUAUCAAAACAAUCACUACUUUUUACUCGUUAGUCCAAAUCCAACGAAACCAACACCCACUUCGUUACGAUCUCCUCUAUCUAGUAAUCCAACCCAAACAUGUUUUUAAAAUUUUAAAUUUUGAAUUAGAUCAAAUUUAGAUUCAAACUUCGUUUGAUCGUAACUUGAGUUCCGUAGCUCCGUUUGAGUUGAUUCUUUCUGCAAAUUAAAGCUCUUGACCUAAAAUUUCUGAUAAGGCCAAAUUCACAUAAUUUUGGUACUUUAAGAAAUUGUUUUAUGUUGCAAGAGUUAUUUGCUGGGUUUUGAAGCUUUCCGAAUUGUUUUCUUCUUUCUCUCCGACCUUUUGAGUGAUUGCUUAUGUGUGGUUACUAUUGCUUGCUUACGAUAGAUUGACCGAAGUGUGACGAGUAGAACUAUCAAGAUUUAUGAGUGUGAAUCAUCUUCAUCUACAUUGCAGGCAAGUUCAUACUUUGAUCAUACCCCUUUAUCACCCAGUUUUUAUGCAUUAGUUCCAAUCCUCAAACAUUGCAUGGUUAGGAUGUGAUUUUUAACAUGUGGGUUGGGAAGUAGUUGGUGAGGUAGAACCUAUUGCUCUGUUACAUUCAAACCCUUGGGAGUUACUUAUCCGAAUUGCUUAUAUUGCUAUGCUAUGCUCUUAGACGUGGUUUGGGUGAGUGAAAUCCAUGACAGAUGUGAGAUUGUUAAUUAAUGGUUCAACUUAAGGUGGCAACUUAAAUACACAUCUGGGUGGAUUGAGGCACCUGGGUAUUCCAGCGAUUGCCUGUUUAGGCACCUAGGUAUUCCAGCGAUUGCCUGUUUUUCAUUAUGGACCGCCACCCAGGCUCAAAGGGAUCAUGAGAUUAUUCAUACUAGAAACUUCCGUGUGCAGCCACAAGCUACUAUGGGCUCUAGCAUAGUGGAUUAAGUCAUGCGAACUCGUACAGUGGUAGACUAGCAGAUGUAGGGGAAAGUAGGUGUAACGGUCUACCCGAUCGUAAGGUGCUAGCGCUUCUGAAAGACUAUGUCUCGGUCAUCCGUUUCUCAAACACCAUGUAGUGAGAGAAUCCCAAUGGAGGAGAUCGAGUCUUGUGGGGAAAAGUGCGCAAACCUCUGCAGAGUGUAUAAACUAAUCAUGAUUAGCCGUGUCCCCGGUUAUGGACAUCUUGAGUAUCUAGUACUUGGAUUAUCAUGUGAAUCUCAUCACGUUACUUAAAUAAUUUGUUGGGUUGUUAAUGAUUACUUUUAAUUGGGAUUGAGAGGGUGUCUACACUCUCAAUGUUUAACAACCGCCAUGAUAGUUAAAUAAAUUAUAUUCCUUUGCAGUAGGGAAAAAUUGGCUUUUCGCAAAAACCUUAUAACCAUAGAGCUUUUCCACCAGCCAUAUAUGCAUGUAGUGAUAGCCAUUGUUCAUCAUUUCUCUAUGGUGUGAAUUUGCCAGUACAUUCAAUGUAUUGACCCUCUAUGGCUGUAAUGUCUCAUGUUGCAGGAUUUUUUACGACGAGUAAGUGAUACAUUAGGGUUACGAUUUCUACACUCAACUUUUUCAUUGGUGUUGAUGGGAAUCCACAACCUUGUUACUUCCGCUAUUUGGAUUGAGGUAAUAGUAUUUGCGUUACUUUUACAUGUGAUUUACCUCUCUUAUAAAUCCUUGAGUAUUGUGUGUGUCAGCAUACCGAUCCAGGGAUGACACUUAAGCAUAGAGACUUGAUGCAUUCGGGUCGGGUCGCUACAUUUGCUUUACGAUCCUUCUAUGUAAUCGAGUCCGUGAGCUAUAUAUAAUAAAUAUUAGUGUUGAGUCAAGGGCUUGAUUAUCUUACUAUGAUCUUGAGGGAAUAAAAUAAAAGAGAAGAAAUAAAAAGAAAUAAAGAGAUCAUAUGGAUCUUAUGGAGAGUAAUGACUUCACAUAUAAAGAGUAUGAUGAAUAAAAAUUGUUGAGAGUUGACAAGCAUAGUUUUGGUCAUCGUUGCAAUUAAUAGGAAGUAAUAAACAAAGAGAGGUUUUCACAUAUAAAUAUACUAUCUUGGACAUCUUUUAUGAUUGUGAGCACUCAUUAAAAUAUGACAUGCUAAAGAGUUGAGGUUGGACAAGGAAGACAACGUAAUGGGUUAUGUUUCCUUACUUCUGAAAUAAAUUAUAUUGUCAUGGAUCAUCCAACAUGUUGAGCUUGCCUUUCCCUCUCAUGGUAGCCAAAUUCUUUGCACCAAGUAGAGAUACUACUGGUGCUUCCAAAUAUCCUUAAACCUAGUUUUGUCAUGAGAGUCCACCAUAUCUACCUAUGGAUUGAGUAAGAUCCUUCAAAUAAGUUGUCAUCAUUGCAAGCAAUAAAAAUUGCUCUCUAAAUAUGUAUGAUUUAUUUGUGUGGAGAAAAUAAGCUUUAUACGAUCUUGUGAUGUGGAAGAAAUAAAAGCGACGGACUGCAAAAUAAAGGUCCAUAUCACAAGUGGCAAUAUAAAGUGACGUUCUUUCGCAUUAAGAUUUUGUGCAUCCAACCAUAAAAGCACAUGACAACCUCUGCUUGCCUCUGCGAAGGGCCUAUCUUUUAUUCUUGUCUUAUACUUCAUGCAAAGAGUCAUGGUGAUCUUCACCUUUCCUUUUUACAUUUUAUCCUUUGGCAAGCACAAUGUGUUGGAAAGAUCCUGAUAUAUAUAGCUAACUGGAUGUGAGUUUUCAUGAACUAUUAUUGUUGACAUUACCCUUGAGGUAAAAGGUUGGGAGGCAAAACUAUAAGCCCCUAUCUUUCUCUGUGUCCGAUUAAAACUUCAUAACCAUAAAUAUCGCAUGAGUGUUAGCAAUUGUGAAAGACUAAAUGAUGGUUCAGUAUGUGGACUUGCUGAAAAGCUCUUAUUGACUCUUUCUGAUGUUAUGAUAAAUUGCGAUUGCCUCAAUGACUCAUAUUGGAGUUUGUUGGUUCUCAAUGAAGUUUAUGAUUCAUACUUGAAAUUGUGAUUGAAUUGUUACUUUAGCAUAAGAGAUCAUAUGCUAUAUAUAUAUAUAUAUAUAUAUAUAUAUAUAUAUAUAUAUAUAUAUAUAUAUAUAUAGACACACACACACAUAAAAACUAUUCUGAUCACGGGAUCAGAAUAAUAUUCUGAUCACAACCUGACCUGCCCCGCUAGUAGUACGUUGAACUUCUCUGUGAACUAGGUUGAACUUCCGCCAACAUUGCCCAAAUGGGGCUUGCGAUAUAUUGUUGGAAAGCUAUGGACCUCAAUAUCAUGACCCAAUUUAAAUUUUUGGCAAAAUAUAAGCGGUUUAAGAGCAGAUUUGAAAACCGUUUUUUUGAACAAAAAACGUGAAUCGUAUUUUCGAUCGCAUUUCUAAACCGUUUAUCGGAAUAAGGCAUAUAAUAUGGCGUUGGAAAUCUGCUGCAAAACCGCUCCUUCCACGUGUUGAAAGUUUUCUCUAAUUCCCUAUGGUUAAAGAGUAAUUUGAAAAAACGUAAAAUUUCGUAAACCAAACAGCUGAGUUCGUUUUUUCGAUGUCAUUUCUAAAUGGCUAAUCCAAUGGAGGCAUAUGAUACGGCAUUGGAAAGCUUAUGAAAAUGCACUACUUUUUCAUCUUGAAAGUUUUUUCUAAUUUUGAAUGGUUUAAGAGUAAUUUAGAAAAUGGUGAAAGUCCUACCGAGUUCGUAUUUUCGAGUUAAUUUUUUAACCGUGCGUCCGAAUGCAACAAAUGAUAUGGCGUUAGAAAGCUUGAACAAAUGCGAAACUUUUUGGUAUGUAUUGUUUCUCCCAAUUCUUUACGGUUUUAACUCAGUUUCAAAAAUGGUGAAAAACAUAUUUUCGCCAUAAUUUCUACAAACUUUAUCGAAAUGGGGCAAAUAAUAUACCGCUGAAAAGCUACAAAAAAUGCUAAAUUUUUUCAUGUUGAUGGUUUUCUCUAAUUCCUAGCCGUUUUCAAGUAAUUUCGAAAACGGCGGGAUCAUGUGUUCUCCCUUUAUUGCGAAAUACAUUCUUCGAAAAUGCACCGCGUGAAGAACCUGAAUUUCUCGUCGCGUGUACCUGAACUUCACUCUGCUUUUUUAUGUGCUUUUUGUGCUCGUAGGUAUCCAUCCACUGCUCGUAACUCUCUAUCCACUCACCGGAAUUGAGCAAGUAAUAUACCAGUGGAAAGCUGCUGUAAGCACAUAACUUUCCCGUGUUAAUCGUUUUUUCAUACUCGUGAUGAUUUUAAAAGUUUUUCAUCUGAAAUUCAUCCAGCGUAGUAGUUGAACUUCAUGUUGUUUUCAUGUUAAACUUCUGUGACGUAUUUUCAUUUGUAAUUUUCUUAUCAAUUCGUCAGUGUUACACAAAUGAUAUUCUUGUUGUACAAACCUCUCUCACAAUAAUUUUUUUAACUUUCUCCGACGGAGUACUUGAACUUAUAACGACAACAAAUUUAACCAUUGCAUUUUUAUUCCUUUUUAAUACAAAAUGCACACCGUGUAGAACGUGAACUUCUGGUAGUUUAUCAACCUGAACUUCUCUCGGUUACGUGAAAAUAUCUAAGUUUUUUAUAAAUAUUAAUCUGAAUUCCUUAAUCCUUUUUUUGUGAAUUUUGAAGCGCUCCAUUUUUAAAAGUUGAACUUCUUAUUAUUUUAUUUUUGAACUUCUUAUUUCCAUUCUUUAAUAACGAGGAAAAUAUGAGUUUUCCAUAAUUAUCGAACUUCUCCAUCUUUUUAAUAUGGACUUCCUGGUUUUAUUUCUUAAUCUUUUUUUUCAAUUUGAACAUGGUUGAUUCUUCAAUACUAAGGGAUAUUUGAGUAUUUUAAUAACGGUAAGAUGUUAGUUUCUAAAUAAACAUCGAACCACUUCGUUAUUUUCGUUUGAACUUCUAGUUUUUUUAGAAAUGGGGAAAUCUAUUUUUAAACAUUUUUAGUUGUUCCUUUUUUAAUUUGAACUUCUUCGUUUUAUACUUUAGUAACGUGAAAAAUCUGAGUUUUUCAUAAUCUUUGGACUUCUCUUUUAUUUUAAUUUGAACUUCCUAGUCUUAUUCAUAAAAAAAAUAUGUUUUUAAAUAAGCACCAUUUAAAAAAAAUAAACUUUAUACUUUUAUUUUUCCAAGAAACGGAAAGAAUUUGAGUUUUUGUAUAUCCAUCGAACUUCUUUUUUUUUAAUUUGAACUUCUUCAUUUUAUUUUUCAGUAACAAGGAAAAUAUGACUUUUGUCAUAAAUAUGAAACUUCUCUAUUUUUGUAACUUGGACUUCUUGAUUUAUUUAUUUCAGUAAAGACAAUAUCCUAGUUUUGUAAUAAAUAUUGAAUUGUCCAUUAUUUCAAUUUCAACUUCUAGAGUUUUCUUUUAAUUUUAGAAACAAUGAAAGUCCUUUUUAUGAUUUUGGAACUUCUCUAUUUUUAAAAUUUGAACUUCUUGUUUAUUAUUUUAGAAAUGGUGAAACAUCCGCUUCUAAGUGUCUUUUACUUUUGAACUGCUCUAUUAUUUCUGUUUGAACUUCCUAUGAUCUUCUUGAUUGUCUUUAGUGAUUGAAGAAAUUUGAGGUUUUAGUAAACAUUGAACCGCUCCGCUUCUAGGUUUUUUAAGGUGUGUUUUGAGUAUAACUCCCAACUUCGGUUGUCGGUGUAUUUGAAUUUAUGCGAUAUUAGUAAAAAACAGAGCCAAUUUGCGCAUUUUUUGAAUCUUUUCUAAAUGGUUAACCUUGAACUUCUCGACAUUUUUCACUAUACACACCUUUUUUUGUAUGUAAUAACUUUUCUAUGUCAAAUGUCUCCCUGAAUGUAUAUGAGCUUGCAUAAAAAAUGUACGUGAGCUUCUUUUUUCAAUGGUGUUUUCUUGCUAACAUGGCACCACAUAGAUCCCUUAAUUUCCCUUUUGGCUUCAUACGUUCUAAUGCAAUGGUUUUGCACGACAUGCAUGUUUAUGAAAUUACAUAAGUUAAUUGGUUCGAGGUAAAAGGAAACACUAAAAUAAUUUAUUUCCAUUUUUGGCAUAACCACCGGCACCUUAGGAACGUAUCCAUUUUUUAUCUGCACUUGCUCGUUUUUUGGAGGCUCCACUGCUCUCUGCUGUAAUUUCACAGCACGAGACUAUACAAAUUUUUUUUGAAUUACUACAAUCUUCAACCUGGAGUCAACCUUGGACUGCACAAUCACGUGCAAUCAGAUAAAAGGUUUUAUGCAUCCGUAGUUGGAUAUAAUGUACAACAAUCACGUAUAAUAUGCAUCAAACUUCAACCUGGAGUCACAUUGGACUGCAAGACCAAAUUUUAGAAACAAUGAAGUAGAGAGGGGGUGGAAGGGAGAUUCGUGCGGUCCUUUAUUCGCUCCAGCGAGCAACCAACGUUGUUACACGAGACCGGAGAGAACAUCUCAGGCGAGGUUGAUAUUAGAUAAACAAACUAACUGAUAUUAAGAUAAACUCCACUGCUUAAAUUAUUGCCAAUGAUGAUUUGGAUAAUUGAUUGCUCUGUUGCUUCCCAGCUCCUCCAGACUGUAGUCCAUCGUUCCGUGCGUGGGAUGGAUGACCGAACCAAAUAAAACUUAAAUGAUAGUUGGAGGCAAUGUCAGGUCGCCUCUUAGACCCCCAAGCUUGCCGGUGAGCAAACUGUGCACGGCAGCACUAGUACCUGCGGCCUAACUUCCGAAAAGCGCGCACAUGCAAACAAAGACCUACUAAAGAGCAAAGCAAAAAGAGCGCGCAUGCGAUGGCAACGUCUCGAACGAUGCCGGUCACGGUUCUGCUACGGCCAUUACUUCCACGAGAGCUUGAUCUCUAGCUCAUAGGAAAUCUUCAUCUGAUCCAUCGAUCUCUCGAAAGACCCGGAGACAAGCCCGACACGGAUGUCGCACAACAUGUUGCGCUUUGCCUCUGGCGGCGCACGGCCAGGCGGAAUGCUGCAUGCUCGAUCGAUCGGUGGUCUGGUCCCACGAUAAACUCCACUGGCGAUUGACAGUUUGACACCCUCGACCAGUCGACCACGCGACCGUCAGAGAACACAAGAGGCACCGGGUCAGGGGAACCCAAGUGGAGAGCAAAUUUCUUGAAUGACAUCGACGAGCCAUGCUGCACCAUGUUCGCAGUAGCAUAGAACGGCAAACAUCACUUAGCAUCUCUCUGAAUAAACUGGGUGCAAAAUUAUGGACAAAUGCAGCAGUGGGAACCGGGCGGCUGAGGCGGUGGACGUCUUGGGGCUACAUAGUUGAACGGCCGGAGGUAGCAGCGGCAAACGGCUUGAGUGCUGUUGCGGCCGGAGGAAAGGUAGGCUCGCUUAAUGGAGGCUGGAGAAGAAGAUCGAGCCCGGCGAGGAAGCCGUCCAUGGUGAGUUGGAGAUGCGUCGGCGAGGGACGCAUGCAGGCGGGAUACGGCGUGACCUCUCAAGGCGUCUGACCCCUGGACGACAGCUUGGCCGGAGACCGGGGCCUGUAACCCUGUCCUUGAGGCGGCGGAGCGGGGGCACGCGGCGAGCCUCUGCGCCCGUGUAGCCGGCGGGGGGCACGACACCGGCGACGAGGAGGGAGACGCUCGCCGACGGGGGGCUCGCGGGAUGCGGAGGCUCUCGUUGGGAGUUGGUGGGGGCGCCUUGGGUAGGACAGCCGGCGGGAGGAGGCGCGCGGGACGGCGAGAUCCAGGAGGGUGGCGGCGCUCGGGGAAGGGGAUCGAGGGAUGUCAGGGUGGGGAUCGGGGCAAGCGGGUGGGGUGGGGUGUUUUUUUUUUCUGUAAUCGGUCCGAUGGGGUUUUCGGGAGUUCGGAAACAGCUCGUCGCUCCUAUAUAUAGUAUAGGGCCUGGCUGUGAUCCAAAUAUUCCAAAAUAGAUGACUCAACUUUAUACUAACUUUAGUAUAAAGUUGAGUCAUCUAUUUUGGAACGGAGGGAGUAAUAUAUAUAUGAGAAGCGGGAGUACGUACUCUCAGCAGUAUACAACCAUUUUCCUAUAUAUAUAUAUAAGACAAUACUAUUCUAAUUCCAGAAUUAGAGUGUGCCUUAUAUAGCGCCCGAAGAGGCGUUCCCGAACUCCAACCGGUCAAAGAAAAAAACCACCGCACCCACUUCCCACGACUCCCUCCCCUACCCUCUCCCGAACCCAUCUACCCACUCCUCACGGCAUCGCGCCGCCGCCGCCGAUCUUCUCCCGAUCCACCGCCGCUGCCUACCCCGUCUCCUUCCAGCUCGCCGGCGCCCCCGCCUCCUUCUGGCCCGCCAGCGCGCACUGUCGUCCCCGCCUCCUUCCAGCGCGAGGCCGACCCACCCUACCUCUAAGCAGGCCGACCCGACCAGCCGCUCCACCAUUCGCCGGAGACGGCACCCCAAUCGACCCGCCGUCCCACCGUCGGCCGGCACGACGCCUCGAUCCAGUCCGCACUUCCAGCCCACUACGUCCCCACGCUGCCCUGGUCUCCCCCACCGUCGCAAGUAGCUACAGCACCGGCCAUCUCCUGUCGCGGAUCGGGCAGCCCCCCACCGCCACCCACAACCCGAUGCAUCGCCGCCCCGGCGGAUCCACGCCGCUCCUCUGUCUCCUGGCCGAUGCCCCUGGCUCAUCCUGCUGCUCACCUCCUCACUCACAUAUGCAUCAACAAAGGCAGGUGGGUCGCUGCAGUCCACUUCGUGGCACAACAGCAGGGCGACUCUUCCAGGACGCAUCUCACUUUUAACCGGCCCCAAAUUCGCGCGCAUGGAGGUGGUGAUGCUCCAGUGAGCUCCUCCGUCCCCAGCCCGUCCCCUGAUGCGGCCGCUGCACCACAGGUUCCUAUCCAUCGUGCCUCCUGUGUGCUUCUUCACACUUCACUUCUCUACUUCUUGGUGAGUGCACGCAAAAUGUGCGCUAAAACGUCUCAGUGCACUAGUACUAGCUUUGUGUGUUCGUUUUCCCUUCUAGCUUAGCCCUUGUGCCUGCUAAUUGAUAUAGCUUGCAUUGCACGAGUGUUUUCCAUGUGUGUUCUGCACUUUAGGUUCAAGUUCAAACAAAAAUCAUGUCUUGAAAUAGUUCAGGUUCUACUGCCAAAGUGAGUUCAAAAAAACAAUGUCGUGGAGAUGAUAUCUUUUUCUAAAAUACUUUGAAAGCACUUUAUGUGCUAGUUUUUAAAAAAGAAAUGUAACAAAUGUCCAAAUGAUAAACGAGCAUGGAAACCUCAAGGUUCAGAACACUUUGCAGAUUGGUAAUGCGAUAAAAGAGCAUGGAAACCUCAAGGUUCAGAAUGAACGUCUUCUGACAGACCUAAUCCGGACAUACGUAGUUCUCUGUACCUAAAUAUGAAUUGAAUGAACCAGGAAAGGAAUCUACCGACCUUGAUAGGUGUUGGGCAUAGCAGUGCAGGAUAUUACCUUUUAUUCUCAAGCUCACAAAUCGCAGCAUUGAAAAAUUGCAAACAAUAGAACAGAGAACAUCAACAAAUCUUGUGCUUUACCAUUUCAGGUACACCCAAACUGAAAUUGUGUGAACUUUUCUCUUGAGAAAAGGUAAAAAGCAUUUUGUGUGGAUGCAUUUCAGGUACACGCUUCCACCCGGCCCUCUCCUCGCGCCUGCGCCCUUUGGUAGCCAUGGAUCUCAAAUGGAUGCAUGCAGCAGCCGACAUCCACGCGUCGCCCUGGCCAAAGCUCGCUGUGUCGGCUUCUGCGCGCUGCCCCAACCACCAGUUGAAGCUCUGCCUUGGACAACGCACAUCGCGCAUCGCCCCAGUCUCCUGUCGGCUGCUGAUGCACGUCGCUGCUGGUCUUCAUGAUGCGUCCCUGAACUUGCUCCGGCUUCAAGACCUCCACAGCGCUGCCGAAGCUCUGCCUUGGACGUAUUUUGGUGAGGGAUAUAGAGAUUCACGUAAGUUAUGCUGAAGUUCAAAUUCAGAAAAACAGGCGGUUCAAUGUUUAAAUUAUCUCCUUCGUUUCUGAAUAAUAAGUUGCAUGCUCUGGUGGAAUGGAUUAGCGACGAAGAGUUUUACAAUUUUCAUGUUCAGCUCGAUGCUAUUUGUUGCCUAAAUCACCCAGUAUGGUGGGGUAAUCUGAAUUUCUAUCCCUCUGUUUUUUGCGUGUGUGCCUGCUGUGCUGCCUAUAGGUUGAAAACGAGCAUUCACAGUGGGCUACAUUAGAGAAUAAAUAAUUUGGGCUGGGCUCAUUGGUAAGUGGAGGCCUAGUAGUUCAGAAACGAUGCACGCUAGUGGAUUUUGUUAUCUUUGCAACACUACUGGUUCACAAGCGAUUAACGCUGUUCCUUGAAAAAACAAGAAGCGAUGCACUCUUUUUCAAUAUUUGCACCAACACAAGUAUUUCUAGCUGCGCACGCAUGUUUCUCUAAAAAAUAAAACUACACGCGCCUGCCAUUUUUUUGAAUUGUUUGCUUACCACAUGUGUCACGUGGUGCACACAUGCAUGUCGUUGAUAGCUACUGUUUCGCAAAUGAAAUUUCUUGCGCUUAACAUUUUUAUUUUUAUUUUAAUCAAUAUGAUCCAUGGCACUUCAUACAUAAAAAACAAUGGUUAGCAGUUCAAAAAUUCAUCACCCGAAGUUUCAUUUUCUCGCUUCUAAAAUAAGCUUCAUUUUCUCGCUUCUAAAAAUUAAACAUAGACGUCCAAAUUAAAAUAAUAGGAUAGUUCAAUGGUUCGCCAAUUACUAAAGAAUAAACCAAGAUGUUGAAAUUACAAGAAAUAAUGGAUCAAUGUUCAUUCAAGAAGUAUAGAAUUUUCCCAUUUUCUUAAAUAAAAACAAGUUGAAAAAAGUUCAUUUAAAAAUAUUGUUUCAUUUUCUAAACAAUAAAACCAAGAAGUGCAAAUUAGAAAGAUGGUAGUUCAAAUUCGAAUAAUGAAGCAGUUUGAUGUUUAUUAAAAAAUUCAAAAUUUCAUCAAUAUUAAAGAAUGAAAACAAGAAGUUCAAAAAAUAAAAAACAAGAAGUUCAAUUUUUUAAAAUAGAGAGGUUUAAAAUUUAUACAAAGGAUUUUCACCGUUUAAAAAAUAAAAAAACUCUGUAAAUUUAAAUUUAAAUAAUGGAUCAGUUUAAUAUUUAUUAAAAAAUUACGAUUUUUUACUAAAAGAAAUAAACCAAGAAGUCCAAUUACAAAGAUAAAGAAAUUGAUAUUUACAAAAAAAACUUAGGAUUUCCUUGUUACUAAAGGAAAAAAAAUGAAGAAGUUCAAAAUAAAAAAGAGAGUCGUUUGAUGCGUACGGGAAAACAAAACUAUAAAGUUCAAUUUUUAAAAAAUGUUUGAUCCUCAUAUAUAAACAUUGUUUUUCUAAAAAUAAGACUAAGAAGUUCAAAUGAAAAUAACAGAGAAGUUCGAAGUGUAUAUAAAAAACUCAGAUUUUCUCAUUAUUAAAGAAUAAAAUGAAGAAGUUCAAAUUAAAAAAAGGAACAACAAAAAAGUUUAAAAAAGAUUUUCCCCCUUUUUUUAUAGAAAAACUACAUGUUCAAAUUUCGCGAGUAUGUAAAAAUGAUCAACACCGGAAAGUUGCGUCUUUUCAAUAGCUUUUCAUCGGUAUAUCAUUUGCUCAAUUCAGGUAAGUGGGUGGGGAGUUAAGGGCAAAAAACGGCACGUGGAAAACAGAGUGAAGUUCAAACAGAACUACUCCAGAAGUUCAACCUCUUCACGCAGUGCAUUUUCGGAGACUCUGUUUUUGCGAUGAAGGCGGAUCGCAUGAUCUAAGAAGUUCAGAUUGAUAACUGCGAGAAGUUCACGUACUACACGAUGUGCAUUUUGUAUUAAAAAAAGAAUGAAAAAGCAAAGGAUAAAAGUUUUAUUGCUAGAAGUUCAAGUGGUCGGCUCGAGAAAGUUCAAAAUUCUUGUGAGAGAGGUUGAACAAAAAAUACGUGACAGAAGUUCGAGGUGAAAACAGUGGGAAGUUCAGCUACUACACGGAAUGCGUUUCAGAUAAGAAUAUAAGAAUAGAAAACAAAAAGGCUUAAAAGGUUUGUUGCAAGAAGUUCAUGUGCUCCUCCUAGCAUAGUUCAAAAUUCAUGUGCGAGACGUCCGUCGUUCAUUUACAUGUUUAAAAAAAGAAGCAAAAACAACAUUGUUUUGCCAUUUUAAAACUACUCUCACGGUAGGAAUUUGUAAUACUUGUCUACAUGAAAAACUUGCUGCUAUUCAUAAGCUAUCCAACGGUAUAUUAUGUGCUACAUUUCGACGAGCAGUUUAAAAUUUGCAUGUAUACCGUUUACAACACGUUUUUAUGCAUUCAAAAAUUCUUACCUGUUGAAAGAAUUUUCAUAGUGAAAACAAUGAGAAGUUCAAGUACUGCAAGGAAUGCAUUUCAGGUGAGAAUAAGAGUAUAGAAAAAAAAAA